CAGCUGCAGUGGAUGUACUGCAAGGGCAGGGCUUUGCAAUUUGUGAGUGAUUAAAUGAAGGAUUACUUCAUCUCCCCUAUUUUUUUCUUCUGGGCAAUUUGUGUGAAAAUAGUACAUAUCAUAGAGGUGCCCUUUGGCAAGAAACCUGCCAAAAUUCAGAAGGAUAGAUGUAGGGUGGAUUUUGAUGUUGUUGUUGCUAGGCAGUUUUAAAAUAGAUUUUGUGAGGGAGAACUAAAAGCGAUUGACUUCCCUCCCUGUAGUUUUUGUGCGUAAUGAUUUUAAUAUGAAUGUGGCAUACAUUGCAGAGAUGCCCCUAGGAAAGUAAGCUGUAAAAUUUCAGAAGGGUAGGUGCAGGGGAUAGAGAGUUAAGAUAAAUGAAAAGAACAGCUUCAGGCUUGUGUUCUGCUGAAUUGACACCAAGGCAAAGAAACUAAGUGCAAAGCUGAUUUGACAGGAAUGGAAGUGUGGGCAUGUGGCAGAGAGGCAGCAGGACUUGAAUGUCCAGCAAUUCCCAAGCAUGCACCACUUAGCAGGACAGGGAACAAAUACAGAGCAGACAAGCAUAAGGUGAUAAGUCAACAUCCCUUCUCCAAAGCACUGUGGCUGGAGAUCCUUGGCAACCUGUCGGCCACAAAACUGCACUCCAUGCCUGUCCACAUCCUGACAUUUCCCUUACAUCAGGGGUGGUUAACUUGUGGCCUCCAGGUAUGGUUGGACUACAGAUUCCAUCAUCCUUACCAUUGGCUUGGGCUGAUGGGAAUUGGAGUCCAACAACAUAUUGGAGUCCAACAACAUUUAGCCAUCCCUGCCUUAUAUGUUAAUUGUGUCGGAAAAGAUUUUACAUCCUCCCUAGGACCAUAGCAUUAUGGGGUUAAAUAAUAUUGUCAGGGUGAGUUUUACUGACAGCUGAAAUAAAGUCACCAAGCUAGCUCCUUCCGUGUUGAAGUUAAUUUCCUAUUUCAGUUUAGGCAUCUGCAGGUCUACCACACAAUACCACUAGUACAGAAAAAGGGGGGAGAGAGAAAAUGUGAGAAGAUUUAACAGAACUAAGAUGCAUUUGUUUUUGGCUUCUAAUUAAUCAAGAUAACAUCUCUUUCAGCCAUUAGACAGUAAAAUCAAUAGGCUGGGCAGCCUGACUGCCAUUUAGACUUAUAUACGAACACCUAUUAUUGGCAAAAUAGUGAUGUAUUUAACCAUUUCAUCCUUUAUUAUAUUUCAAAUAAGGAUCACUCUCGACAAGAAGGAGAUGAACCAAGUGCCAUGAUAAUGUUCGCCUUGCUGUAAAUGUUCACCUUCCUCACCUUAUUUCCCCAGGUAGGGUUUCUUUCUUACGAUUGUGAACAAAAACCACACCUCAGAAUACCAGACUCUGCCUGAUAACUGAAUUACAACUGAAUUUUGAGACAAAUUUGGAGGUGAAGUACAUGCAGACAUUUCUAAAGUAGUUCAACAUUUUUUGACAGGGCUGAGCUGAAGCCACUCACAUAUUUUUAUGAACAAUUUCAAAUGUCAAAACGAGUUCAGUACCUAUUCAACUUCAUCCCUUCAUAAUACUGUCCCUCCAAAUGUCUGCAGAAGUAGGGAAAUUGCUAUGUAGGAGCAAAGACCCUGCUGCAGAAAUGUCCUGUCUCCAUUACAAGAGCAGCUCUCCUCUUAAUAACAGUUUCUGGGAAUCACAAGUGAAGAUAUAGCUGCUGUGCUCAGCUACUGCUUAUGGGAAGCCCAUAGACAUCUGGUUGGCCAUUGUGGGAAAGGAUUCUGGACAAUAAAGGCCUUUUGUUCUGAUCAAUCUUCCUAUGUUCUUAAAUCCAGGAUACAAUCAUCUUGCUGAUAAACACUGAACCUCUUGCCAGCAUCUCUCUUGCUUAGCUUUCGCUAAUAGGAUAAAUCAGGGCUUUUUUCCCCAGCUGGAACUCGCCGGAACUCAGUUCCGUCACCUCUCAGGUGGGUGCCAUUGCCAUUACAGUGGUACCUCAGGUUACAUACGCUUCAGGUUACAGACUCCACUAACCCAGAAAUAUUACCUUGGGUUAAGAACUUUGCUUCAGGAUGAGAACAGAAACUGUGCUCCAGCGGCGCGGCGACAGCGGGAGGCCCCAUUAGCCAAAGUGGUUCUUCAGGUUAAGAACAGUUUCAGGUUAAGUAUGGACCUCCAGAACGAAUUAAGCACUUAACCUGAGGUACCACUGUAUAAGAGAACAAGAGAGGUGUUUGUGGUGAGUUCCGGCACCUCUUUUUCUAGAAAAAGAGCACUGGUAUCAAUACUAUCCAUAUCACUACCUCCUUUUUUUUCUCCAGGAAUACUAGGGUGUUCAGAAUUGCCUAAUCACAUUCAGCAUAUUGUUGCCAUAUCAUCAUAUAUCUUUCAAAGACUAUCAAAGGAGCAAAAACUAAAUAUGGACCCUUGGGUCAUAUCCACACUAAACAUUUAAAACACUCUUAUACCACUUUAACUGUUAUGGAGAAACUCGGUAGCUAUAGUUUUUUUUAAAAGUGCUGGGAAUUGCAGCAUUUACUCUGAGUGUGACUCACAUUGGAUACAACCCAUUAUUAUAUUUGGGUACGGGGUCAUUUUUGUCCUGGCGGCUGCUGCUGCUGCUUUCCUGGAUGAGAGUCAUAGAUGGUCCCACUCAAUCAGGGAUCACCCAGUGAAUGGAAUACAAUAAGCCCACAGUUUACGUGGCGUUUACGUUCCAGGGAUUGUGCCUAAAGCUAAAAUCACGUAUAGUCAAAACACACUGGGUUCAAUGGUGAGUGCAGUUGCCAGAGUCAUCUUUCCCAGAACCCCGUUCCCUUUCUGCCCUUUUAUUAGUUUUUUAUUAAAAAGCCACAUACAUAAAGUUGAAUACACAUAAGAUAAAUGUACAUAGGUUGUGGAGCUUAUUGUACAAAAAAAGAGGACCUAGCCAAUCAGAUUCAGAUUCAUGGCGAUGUUACUAUGGGGGAAUGAGGGCAUCAGAAAUAAUUUAGCAUUUUCUCAAUGAGCGCCUAAAUCACUGCAAUGGGUUGUUCGGCACUGGCAAUAAAUGUUUGCAAACAACCGUGAGCAGUUUUAACUCAGCUCUGACGUGCAAAUCGCUUUCCCAAGAACAUUCCUGCUGGUAAAUACAGUGGUACCUUGGGUUAAGUACUUAAUUCAUUCUGGAGGUCUGUUCUUAACCUGAAACUGCUCUUAACCUGAAGCACCACUUUAGCUAAUGGGGCCUCCUGCUGCCGCUGCACCGCAAGAGCACGAUUUCUGUUCUCAUUGAAGCAAAGUUCUUAACCUGAAGCACUAUUUCUGGGUUAGCGGAGUCUGUAACCUGAAGCGUAUGUAACCCGAGGUACCACUGUAUACAGUUGCUGACUCACACUUGCGUGCAUCAAAGCGUUCAUCUGAGCCCCUCCCUCAAGUUACUGUGGGUGGGAUUUAGCAAUUUCCCAGAAGCCUUUGCUCCCUCUCUUUCCCUCUGCAUCCUCAAAGAAGCUGCAGCCAAUUAAAGGCUCCCACCUGUGAGGAAAAGCAGGUGAGUGAGAAAUCUCUCCAAAAGGAGAUUUUUAUGGCCCGCUUCUUUAGUCUGCAUGGUUCUUUAGUAAGGAAGCAAAGCUCUUUCUUUUCAAGCCGUUUGGAACCACUUUCUUUAUUUUACUUGCCAACAGAUGGAUACUUGUUUGCUGAAACAUCUGAAACUCUGUGAGUAAGAUCUACAUUUUGGUAUCUGUUAUUUACUCUAGCCUAAGUAUCUUUUUUGUGGGGGAAGUUGGUUUAAAGGUGGCCAUGGGGGUCACAUGUAAAGUCUAACCAAAUUUUAAUGUGCUUGGCUCAUUGUGCUAACUACGAGAGAAUCAGGAAUCUCUCUUGCAAACCUCUCUCCAACACAUUCUAGAGCACUAGGGAUACCAACCCCUUCCCUACUCUCUUCAGCUGCUAAUGUAAAUUAAUGAGAACAAUAUUUUCCUUCUGAAUAGGUUAGACAAAUGCUAAAUUAUACGCAGGCUGUAUCGGUAACUAACAGCCAAAUGUGCAUUAUUCUCAGGGCACUGCAACAUCGGAUGAUGGAACAGACUCAUUUUAACAAAUCUCUGAGGCUUCAGACCAAUAAAAUAUUGAGGUAUACAUAAUUUGUCUACCAAAGUUAGAAAACAGCAAAGUAAUUUGGGGAAAGUUUGUAGUUUUAUGUAGGCUGCCGCUGUUCGACGUCCAAGGCGCCUUGGGCUGCUUUUUGCCACAUGAAUCUGCACAGCUGCACAAGGCCCCAAAUCAGCCUGUUUUGAGUUUCCCCAGCAGCACUUAAUUUUAGGCCUUCCACCCACCUGAUCCUUGAUUGGUUGAGAGGCAGUGGAUGAAAAUAGCUGCUUUAAACAGCUCCCCAUUUAGUCUCUCUCAUGUCUAUGUACAAUCUCUUACUGAUCAACUUUGGGGUUUUUAGCCAGUAAUGGGGCAGUCUAAAGGCCUACGUGAUCAGGUAAGCAAUACUGUAUGUCUAGCUUCGCUUUGUAGAUGUGUUCAAAGCCCUGACUUCUCUUUAUGCCUCUUUCCUGAUCCUCAGUGUUUGUCCUAACUUGGCCGAUUUUAAUAGACUAUGAUAGGUCUAUAGAUAUGCUGUGUGUUUUUAUUGCCUGUUUUGAAGAGUUUCUGAAAAUGCACCAUAUCCAUGGGUUUAGCUUGUAUGCAAAUCAAAAUCAUCUUUGUAUCUUGCAGUCUCCUCUGUUUUUACUGUGGGGUUUUCUUUUUGGUCCUGCUCCUCUGUCUCCUCGCAAUAUUUUAAUAUUCAGUUUAAUACAUUUUCCAAUAUAAUGGGGGUUUAGUUCUCUCCUGCCAGGUUUUGUUGUCUUGCUUCAUGAAGAACAAUAGCCAUAGAAAGAUGGCCUCCAGCACUGUACAAUUUAUAGGUGUGGAGUGGUUUAAAUAGCCAAUUUGUAAAAGCUUCAGACUCAAUUUAUGUGCUAGGUUUCCCCUCCCCCCAGCAUUUACGUUGAUAAAAGUGUAAAAUGUGCCAAGCUUCAAUUCUGUUUACUCCUCUUGCACCUUAUCAACUAACCAAAGAGAGAGGGGCCUGUUCAACACAGUUCCAAAUCCAUUUGUCAUUGAAAAUAACAAAUGCAAAAAUAUUCUUAAAAUGCAUAAACCAUAAAUUGAAGCUACCUAAAAAAUAAAUAAACAGAUGGAGAUAGAUUCCUCUCCUUCCUGGAAAAUACUUUUGGGCUCGCUCGCUCUCUCUCUCUCUCUCUCUCUCUCUCUCUCACACACACACACACACACACACACACACACUGUUUGGCACCACAUUUUUCCACAAUUUCUCCAAUGGCUGCUACUUUUCUUAUUCACAUGGACGAUUCCAGCCAUUCACGGAUCUUGUAGUGACCAAUCACAGUAUGUAGCCAUUCGCUUUCAGUUAUGAGUGAGGUAACAAUUCCUGGAUUACAAGAGGGAGAUGAAGCACCCAGCUGAUGAAGCACCUCAGUGCCGAGUAGAGAAGUGUCAAGAUAAACUGAAGUUAAGCAGACAGGCAGGGUGAAUUCAGCAGUGGAGUGGAGGCCAGGGUGGUCAACUCUUUCUCCUUUUGAUCUCACAAACCCUGGAUUCAUAAGAAAAUAAGCUUGAUAAACAAUAACAGCUACAAAGACAGAAAGGCAACUGGGGUUUGGGAGUGUCACAUGUAUAAUGUUCCUGCCAAAGAGGAACCCUAGAUGUGUACUUGGUGUAGUCGGCUUCUGGUGCACAAGGGGCCUUUUUUACCCUGGGAGAUUGAGGGUGGUUUUUGUGUGUGUGCACCCUUGCCUUCUCCCCAUUUUUACUGCAAAUACAUUCUGGCAAGCUCCUGAAUAGGGUUAGGGCAGGGGUAGGCAACCUAAGGCACAUGGGCCGGAUGCGGCCCAGUCGCCUUCUCAGUCCGGUCCGCGGACAGUCUGGGAAUCAGCGUGUUUUUACAUGAGUAGAAUGUGUCCUUUUAUUCAAAAUGCAUCUCUUGGUUAUUUGUGGGGCCUGCCUGGUCUUUUUACAUGAGUAGAAUGCGUGCUUUUAUUUAAAAUGCAUCUCUGAGUUAUUUGUGGGGCAUAGGAAUUUGUUCAUUUCCCCCCUUCCCCCCCCCCCAAAAUAUAGUCCGGCCGACCACAUGGUCUGAGGGACGGUGGACCAGCCCACGGCUGAAAAAGGUUGCUGAGCCCUGGGUUAGGGUGAACAUCAAAACCCGUGGGCAUAUACGAGGGUAGAUGCUCACCUAUCACGGGUCCUCCUACUGAGAACAGUUGGGGAACUGGGCAAGGAGCAAGAGAAUGUGGGGGUACAGUGUGUGUGUGUGUGUGUGUGUGUGUGUGUGUGUCUCUGUGUGUGUGUGUGUACUGCAAGGGUCUGAUGGAAGACUGACAAACCACAUAGACAGAUGGGUCACUGAAGAGGUGCCUCUCUGCUGAGGGACUACAGGCAGGCAGAAGACAUGUUAGGAUUCCACUGAAAAUGGCAACACCCGUAGGGCUGUUUCUGGGCAUUCUGCUUCAAGAAGCCUAGCUUUUAAUACAGCACUUCACCUGUCAGGUAUCCCAGCUGUCUCAUGCCAUCUAGACAUCGUGCAUCUACCCAGCGUUGCCCCCUUCCCCCACACCAGGCCUCCACCUCCAUGUAUUUGCUCAGCAGGAGCCACAACACAAAACCACAACACUAUUGAUUCUGGAUGCUUAACUGCAUCAGAUGCAAAAGCCUGGGUGCCAAGUCCUGGAAUUGCUGUCAGCAUCCUGGCUGUGUUGCUAAAGAUGGGGCCGGCUAAUUCAGUCAGGUCUGCUCUUUCUGCCACCGCUUUGAGUGACGUGCAUGGCCCAGUGCACAUUCACUGAAAACUAGUAUCAGGGAAUGACAUACAGUUUGAUAACAUAAGAUGCUUAGGGUUUUUUUGGCUCAAGUGAGAUGUUCAGAGCUAAUAGCCCUGGUGAGCGGAGUUUUAGCUGUGAUCUGUACCUUGAGAUAUCGGCUGUGUCUGGCUCAGGGAAAAAGGGGGAAAGAAUGAAAGCUUAUUUCUAGAAAAGGCUUCCGAUGAGCAGCAUUUGUCAUUGAAGGGGAGAUGGGUAUAAUUAGCUUGUCAGUCUCGUUUGGGCUGAGCUGGCUUUCUGCGCUAAGAAAGAUGGACUAACUGCCAGAGCCGCUGACAGGUAGUCGAUAAUGCAGCAAUUAAUGUCAUAAAUAAUUCUGGAACCAAUUAUAUCAAAAUGGACUCUGAGCUUAAAAAAAGAUCAGAAUUCCCUUCUCCUCCUCCUCCUCCUUCGCUAACAGCAAGCCCCAGCUUUCAUUUUUCUCUGUAAUUACUUUUCAUUGUAUAUAGCCAUAAAGUAGGGUCUUUUUCUUCUGUCCAUAUUUUUAAACUCCCUUCCACCCCAGUUUCUCUCCCCAGCCCCCACCGUGUCCCUUUCCACCCUCCUGCUCCCCCAGGACUUGGUUGUUACAGGAUAUCUUUGGGUGAGCACAUAAUCUUUGAGCCUGGCUGUUUACAUGAUAACUCCCUCUGCACCGAAAUGAUUAAGAGCCCAGUUUUCUCAAAUGUCAUGAGCAAUGACAGCGGAGAACACCAAAACAAUGGCAUUUGGAAAUGAAGACAUUUGUGAAAUAAAUUGAUUUGUCUUAUUAUUUUAAAGGUUGUUCUGACUUUGCUUACACUGAACUUAUCGAUUUUUGUUGGCCUCCUCCUUCUCCACUACAGUUGCAACCGGAGAAUAUGAGCCAAGCUAUUCCCUCUGUGCCGCAAACACAAUUUACUACAAGCUUAACAAUGGUCUUGUAACCCUUUCUAGUAUCUCCUGCCUAUGACGGAGAAAACAAUAUGAAUGAUGGCGUAUUUUUGUUGGGCUGACUGCACUUUUAAAAGAGAGAACUUUAAAAUGAGGUUUGGGAGAACAGCCAGGCCCGUUUCUAGUUUUGUCCUGAUGUGCAUUUUGAGAAGUUGUGGCUGGGAUCAGCUUUGUACUUUAAGGUGACAACAGCGACAGCAGUUCAGAAUGUUUAAACUGAAGUGCUUAAUAUAUAAUGAUCUGAGAAUCCUGACAAUUGGGGAGAGCCUGAUCAGGAUCAGUUUUGCCAGGGGUUGAAGUGGUGGUGGUGGGGUCUCCUGGUUCACAGGUCAUUUGCUUCGUUGGCAACAUAUAGUUUAGUUCCUCUGUCCUCUACAAGCACCCCACCCCUGAAAGAAACCUAGCUGUUUACAACUAAAUGAUAUUUUUGCCAAAAUUCAAUGUUGUUAAUUAAUUAAUAUAGAACGAUUCAAAAUGAGGAAGUCUUCCAGGGGGAAGAUACACCGGUAAUCCACUUGUGCUGAGUUUGUUGCCUCCUUCGGCAAUGAGGGGUUUGGUGUGUUGGGAAAAGGAAAGCAAUUGCAGCAGAAAGAGUGUAGGCAUACCCAUGGUAUCCAUAGGAAAUUUGGCUGCAGCAUGCAUGGCUAUAUCACACACCACCCAAAUUGUCUUGAGAUGGUGGCUUAGAAGGUGUUGAUAAAUCAGUAUUCAUCAUCAGCAUGCACCCUCAUUACCACCCAGGCCCUUAGGGUCUCUGCACCCCAUCUCUGUACCCCCUCUCUCUCACACACACAUACACACCAAGACACAGAACCAGAGAGCGCAAUGGCCAUUUAUUGUCAUGAUGGAAAAGAGUACACAGCCCAAACAGGCAGGGAAAGCUUUCACAGCAGCAAAAACACCCCAAACCGAGCACCCCAUGAUAACAGAUAGACAUAGCAAGGAGCUGGCAAGUGAUGGGAAGGUGGAGCCACACUAGGAAUGACAGAGGAAAUUUCCUUCUGUCUACCUGUUCAACUCCCAUCAUGUAACAGUCUCUUGCUAAGAAUGAUUUUCAUCUCAGUUCUCUACAACUGUGUUUUUUUUUAUAAAAAAAAAUCAUGUACAUGUUAUACAUAAUAGAUACGUAAAUUGCAUAGCAAUUUACGUUAUUUACAUAUUCAUUGAUGUACAAUUGUCACUGCCCUGACAUGGGUCUUGCAGCUUUUCUUUUUUUCCUGAAAUACUGCAUGCUGACUUUGUGUACAUACACAGCCUAUAGUCACCAAGGCUGCAAUCCUAACCAUGUCUACUCAGAAGUAAGUCUCACUGACUUACUUCCACGUAAGUGGGGUUAUGAUUGUAGCCUUUAGCUGUUUCCCACUGUGGAUUUUAAAAACCAAUGGAAUGCAUCAUUUAUUCUUGUUCUUUGUUACGGAAAGAAGUACAGUAGUUUGUAUUGUCAUCUGUUGACUUUAUUUGUGCUCCUCAGUUAAAAGUCUGAGGAUUUGAAGCAGUCAGACAUAAAUCGAGUUUACUACAAACAUUGAAAACAAAUUAGCUUGAACAUUAUGUUUCAGAAGAUGCACACACACGGUCAUUUUCUGAAGAAAAUACACAUUUAUGGAAUAAAAUCAUGCACUACAGAAAGGGCUUAUAUAAGUGCACAAUGUUUAAUAUGCCCGCAGGAAUUCUUACAGUCCAGGACACACACAGCAAAAUACCAGCAGGGUGCAAACCUAUCCUUCCUUGAUGCCUGAAUGAGGGAAAAGAGGCAGGGUUAAGUUCAUACCACACUAUAAAAUCCAGAUAGUGAGACUUCAAUCCUAGUCCCACUUACCUGGGAGUAACCCAAGUUGAAUUCAGUAGAAUUUACUUCUCAGAGACAUGGUUAGAAUAGAUAGCUUUUUGAUGACCUAUUAGCCACUUCAUUAACUUUGUCUUUAAGGUGCUGCCAGGCUCUUUACUUUUGCUGCAAAAGACUAAGAGGGGUACUCCUCUGGAAAUUCAUCAGCUUUGAAGGGGAACAUACAAGGAGGCAACUGAUUUGUAAAUAUCUAUCAGUGGAUGAGAAAUGCAUCCCUCUAUUAUGUGUUACAACAGAUGUAUGAAAUUGCAUAUAUUUCUGCAUCAGUGGACAAUGGAAUGAAAGAAAGGCUUCUGCAAAAUAAACGAAUUGCAGCAAAAUGGAAAGUACCAGAUGAAAAUGUAAAUGAAUGUUGGAGCAGGCUGAGGUAUGUCUGUUCAUCCCUUGGCCACAUGAGUUGAGCCACCAACAAAGAAGAGCACAGGGGACAGUGAGAGAGAGUGAGUUAGACCAGGCCCACUGGUGCAAAGAUCAGGCACAACAAAUGCCAAGGGAGGACCCUUCAGGUUUGCCACCGGUGCUCUACACCAGUACCACAGGCAGAGGGACCCACAGUUGCAGCAGUAUCCACACUGGUAUGAGCAGACUGGCCCUUGUGUUGAGUCCUGCGUCCAACUGCGGCGCCGGCUGCCUGCACCAGCUCGUGUCCCUUCAGCAUCUUUGGGAGGGUCAUCCUACAGAACAGUGGCCAUGGCAUCUAGCAAGGCAGCCGGUGGGAGGAUAGCAGUAACAUCACUACCGUCCCCUAGUCAUUCCUGCAAUAUAUCAAACAGUUGGAUGGUGGAGGCUGCCUCUGACACAGGCCUCAUCCUCCACCUGUUUUGUAUGGAUAUAGCUGGUGUUGGCUUUUUUUUUAUUUUAAUCAAUCAAUAAAGCAUUGUGGAAGCAGCAAAUUACUGCAGCGUUCUUUCACAACCUUUUGCUUCCUAGAGCCUGACAAAUGUUUCCAGUUUCACAGCCAUGGUGGCAUUUACUCCUGGGAGGUUGGGGGAAACAGUUCAUGAAGUUCCCACUGUUUUCAAACUGGAAACAUCUGCUGGCAUUGCACUCUGUUUUGGCUGUUGGGUUCUGAAGCAGAGAAAGAUCCUGUAACCUGAUCAGCCCCUCUCUGUAGCAGGAGGUGUCACUGCCAUGACUGAUAAUUACAGUAGAUGGUUGCAGAGGAGGCAGGAUCAUUUGGCCAAACGGGCGAAUGCUUUAAACGCUUAAAAUGACCAUAUUUUCAAAUGCAAAACCAUGUCUGCCGUGUCUGCGCCUUGUCUCUGGCUGCAGCAAGAGGCACAACUGCUUUAAUCAAGCUUGCAAAGGAGCAAAGUGUUUCCAUAUUUUUAUUUUUAUAAUACAGACCAUUGCUCUGUCAGGUGGUUUGAAGAGUAGGAAUUCUUUUGCAAAUAAAGCACAGGCUCUGAAGAGUGGAGGCUUUGAGGCCCACUUAUAUGGAUAUGCUGAAAACACCAUAUUCCUAGUUCAUAUUUUAAAAAAGAGAAAGCAUGCUUACUUUCUACAGAUACAGCAUGACACCAUCACAUUUAAGCAUUCUCUUUCCUGGAUAGCCAUUGUAGGUCAGUUUAGCCCCCUGCCUCUGGGUACAGUACUUCUGGGCAAUGUGAACGUAUGAAGGCAUAAUGCCAGGAGUCAAAGGAAUUUAUUGUAGCCUCUAUGACCAUCAGAAGGCAGGUGCUCCUUGUUGUCGAUUAGGCUGGACUAGAAUUUCUGGAGAGGAUUCUAAUUUUGGUAAUCCAUGGAAGAAUGUUCUCUAGUUAUUUUCUAGAAUGGCUGGAAUGUAGGGUCCUCAUAAGUCUCGGUCUUGUGAUUUCCUUGACACCCCCCCCCCAUAGGAACAUAGAAAGAUGCCUUAUAAUGAGUCAGACAGUUGGUCCAAGUAGCUCAGCAUUGUUUGCACUGAAUGGCAGCUGCUCUCCAGGAUUUCGGACAAAGUUCUCUCCCAGUCCUACCUGGAGAUGCUGGGGAUUAAACAUGCUCUAUCACUGAGCUAUGAGCCUUCCUUUUCUUCCUGCUGCAGGAGAGCUUUUUGAGUUUGUUUGAUCCAGGGCUGUAGAAUAACCAGCUUCAUACAACCAAUGUGCUUAAGUUUAAUUAAUGUAUGAAAGGGUUAAUGCAGGGGUUGGCAAGGUUUACCUUGCCUGGACCGGUUCACUCCAGUGGAGAUCGUGCGCCCGCAAUUUCCGACGUUUGCACAGACGCGAUUUCCAGUGCCGCGGAAGUGAGUCCUUGCCCCGCACUGCGCCGGUUUAGCACAGCGUGUAGGGACUCGCCAAGUGGGUAGCUAGGUUCAGGGGUGGCUCGUGGGCCAGUUAAAUGACCCCCGUAGGCUGUUUGUGGCCCAUGGGCCUUAGGUUGCCGACCCCUGCGUUAAUGCUAUAGAGUAAGCCAGGGGUCCUCAAACUACGGCCCCCAGGCCAGAUCUGGCCCGCUAGGCUUGUAAAUCUGGCUCACCAGCUGAAACACCAUGCCAGGUUUACCUCAGUGUGCGGGGACUGACUGAGUGGGCAGCGAGGCUUCCGCGGCUGAUGUAAAUCUGGCACAGCAAGGAGUUUCCAUUGAAAAGAGUGCGGGUGAGCAUUCUUUUCAACAGAAACACCACGCUGGGUUUACCUCAGCAAGUGGGGACUGACUGCGGCUCUGAAUGGGAACAAGCUCCUCAAGCAGCAGCGGCUCUGCCAAUGAAACUCUGCGCUGGGUUGCGUAGGAAUUGGUUCAAUUGGCCCCCAACAGUGUCUGAGGGACAGUGAACCAGCCUCCAGUUUUAAAAGUUUGAGGACCUGUGGAGUAAGCUCUCCUGCCAGGCUUAGCUUGGUCACUUCCCUUUACCUUGGGAGGAAAUGGGUAAAUGAGACCAAUUCUCAGAUGGAAGUGGAAUUACCAAGAAGAACCCCUCUGCUUAACACCUGAGAGGGUCUGAAGGGAAGGAGGUAGUCUUUCAUUUAUCUAGGUCCUCAGUCAUUUAGGGCGUGAAACACUAAUGCCUUACCAAGGACACCUGGAAUGAGUCCCACAAACUGGCAACCAGCACUGCUGUUUAAAAACAUAAAUUAUAUCAGUUCUAAAUUGAACCUCACCCUGUAAUAUGACCACUGCAUUUUGUACCAGAUGAAAUACUGUUUAAAAGGCAGCCCUGGUACUGGAUAUGCUUUGGGGGAGUCUUGGGUUGUUUUUUAAAAAGUUCUCUAUAUAGUGGAUCAAAUUUGGCAUGUCCUGGGAGUUUCUCUUUUGAAAAUUUAUUCCAGAGGGUAAGCUGUGUUGGAUCUGUUGCAGAAAAGUUUUAGGGCACCUUUCAUAGGCCAGAACCAACUUCUUUUGAGUAUUUGUGCACAACUUAGCGUAGCGGCUUUUAAGUUUCACUUCCAGGGAUAUAGUAAGUUAACAACAGGAUAGAGGAGGUUGGUGUGUGUGUGUCGGGGAGCGGGGGGCGUGGGGGGGGGGCGGAUUGCAGCAGUAACAAGCCUAGACCAAUUUAGACUGCUUCUCUCACUGCCUUUAUUAGAGAUGGGAAUAUUGUUUUAUCUGCCAAGGAGUGUCUCCUACAAUCAGUCCGACAUGCAUUUAGCUUCACAGCAGCUGUCACAUAUUAUGGAUUUAGUAAAUAGGAGAGCUUAAAAAUUCUGUUUUGCUGUCUAUAUAUUCCCCCAAUUUACUUGCUUUUUCUUCUUGCAAACUCUGCACAUUUUAAUGUUACUUUAGUGGCUGAAAUUGCUGUGAAUACCUGGCAAGCCAGCCAGCCUAAGUGGAACUGAAACGCGGCAUACAAAUUCAAUGUCAGUUUGGAACAAUUAGCCAAAUUUUGCUUAUCUCCCCGUGUAGUGAUAAAAGCUAUUUGUUUCUAUAAGGAAUGGAAGUUUGUCUAGUCACUGAAGGGAUAUGUGAUGAUGAGUGCUGGUGAAGAAUAAAUGGAAAGGCAAUUUUUGCUGGGUGUGUUGACCUAGAAGCCGCUUUAUUGUCGAUGAGAAUAAUUAAUAUUUUUAGCAAAUUGGGUACCUCUGGGACAUGAACAUGACAUGACAGCACCAUCCCUGCUUGUGAUUCCUGCCAGUGCUUCACUAUGAGGCCUGGAAGACCUACUCCCUGCCUUGCAGGUCUUUAUUCACCUGGCUUGGGAGGCUGGGACCCUGACUGACUGCAGCUACAACAGCUGAGGCUGCUGAACAGACUCCUGGGCUGCAGUGUUGUUUGCUGGGGGUUGUUGCUUUGGGUUUUUCAAUCUUCAUUUUAGAUCUUGUGAUUUACCGUAUUUUUCGCCCUAUAGGACGCACCGGCCCAUAGGACGCACCUAGUUUUUUGGGGGGGAAAUAAAGAAAAAAUUUUUUAUCCCCCCCCCAGCCGCGGGGGAAGCCCGAGCUUUUAAAAACGCACCUACCGUAGUUUUUAGAGGAGAAAAGGAUAUCUGCCUGAAGCGCAGGGCACUCUGCUUCAGUGCGCCCCGCGCUCCGGGCAGCAGGCUGCUAUCUGCAGCCUAGGGAGCCCUGCGGGAACUCCCGCGGGCUCCCCAGGCUUGCUGAUAGCUUCCUGAAGCCUGGAGAGCAAGAGGGGUUGGUGCACACCGACCCCUCUCGCUCUCCAAGCUUCAGCGAAAGCCUGGAUUCGCCCCAUAGGACGCACACAGAUUUCCCCUUCAUUUUUGGAGGGGGAAAAGUGCGUCCUAUAGGGCGAAAAAUACGGUAUGUGGAUUUUGUUCAGUUUGGUUGUGUAUUUUUUAAUGUUUUAUUUAUUUACAGCUACUUUCGUUAUGUUGAAGCUACAUAUAUUUUUACCCCAUGUUGUAAGCCACCUUGCACACGGCUUGAAUUAUGGAAAGGCGGCAUACAAGUAAAAUAUGUGUGCAUGCAUAGCAAAAUCAUGUAAAAAUCCUUCUGGCGCUGUUAUUUAUUUCACAAAAUUUAUACACCCUCAAAGCACUGUACCACUCUUGGAUUAUAAGCAGGGGAACCACAAGGAUCACCAACCCAGCACUCAUGGGUAACAGGUUGGUGGCCCUUCUGUAUUGGGAAAUACUUUUACCUGAGAGUGAGUCCCAUUAAACUCAGCAGAUCUCACCUCUGAAUAGACAUAUGUAGGACUGCACUGCUGGGCUCUUCACUGGUUUUAGAUUUAGUGAGCUUCAGGGCACCAACACCUACAUUGCUUUUGAGAGAAGGGUGAGCCCUGAGGAGACCCAGAGUCUUCUCCUGAGCCUGUUGAUUGAGUUUUUCGUGUUUCUUCAGUGCUGUGGAUGGUUGGCACCAUUUUUCAGGGCUUACUUAGGCAACUGAGACUUGUGGGGCUUAAGAUUAUUUAUACUUGAUCACGCUGUGAUUCGGGGUUUGUGGUAUAUGUAUCAUUUAAAAGGCUUGGGUGCCCUGUUCUCCCUUUGGGGUGCUUUCUCCAGAUCCAUCCUAAUUUUGGGGAAAUCACCUUAGGCUUACUUUAAAAAAAAAUCCAAAAAUCACGUUUGCUAUUUUAUUUCAAAUUAUUUUCAGUAGAAUAUUGUAAUUCUACACACUCCCCAACCUACCUCUCAGCAAUUUUUCGUAGAUAUCUGAAGACAACACCUCUUCCUUGACAGAUUCCAAAUGACCGCAUUUGUUCCUCCUGCAUAGAAAAAUAUGAGUUUCCUUCUUCAUUUCAUCAUCCAACAAUUACCAUCUAGUAUUCUUCCUUUCUCUCUCCCUCUCCAUUUAACAAAACCCCAAAGUCAGUUGUGAUCAAAUACAUAAAAAACAAUAAGAACAUAGUGAGUAAUCACCAAUGAAAAGUCAUAACUUCUGUGGUUGUAAAUCAUGCCUGAACAAUGCACUUUCUAACCGACAUACCUUUACCACAUCUGAUCCGCGAACAUACUUACUAGGCAGAUAAUGAAUAACUUAUUCUUGGACAGAGUGGCCUAGGUUUGAUUUAUCUCUUAGUAUAAAUAAAUAAGAAAAGGCUGUCAAAUCCGGGUGAAUAAAUCUCAUCUCUCCAGGAAGGCUUGUGUAUAAGGAUGAAGGGGAGGAGAAUAAGUGAGCAGGUGCUUUUACCUUAAUUGGAGACAGAAUUUUUUUUAACCCUUUUGAAGGAGUAAAUCGUAUUGUUUCUGAAAAAUUAAAGGGCUCUGCAAAUCACAUUUUCAAGUAGAUUCUGAUCUCCUUUGCCCUUAUGGAAGCCUUGAGAUGCUGGAGUGAUUUGGGUGGGGAGUUCCUCAAUUGAAGUUACCAUAGUCUUGGAACAAGCACCCUUAAGUUGUUGUAGCUUAGUCAGUAGAGCAAGAGACUCUUAAUCUCAGGGUCAUGGGUUUGAGCCCCACGUUGGGCAAAAGAUUCCUGCAUUGCAGGAGGCUAGACUAGAUUACCCUCAAGGUUGCUUCUAACUAUGAUUCUAUUAUUGUUGCAGUUGUCACUAGGAUGUUACUGGUCUGUUAACUCUUUUACACACACACACGUACGUGUUUGGGUUAUUUGAUUGAUUGGGAACUUCCUAAUUCAUCAAUGCCUCAUUGCAGGCCCUAUGCAGUUAAACUGGUUAUUUCCUAGCCAUCCCAGCUAUUCAUGUGAUUCAGGACUCGUUCGAGCUUUUUUAGCAUUAGUGUUAAAGCCCGAGGCAAGAGCUGCAGGUACUUUCAAAUUUGGUUGAUUUCACAGAUUUAUGACAGUUGAAUUUGAAUAACCAAAUGAAUAUUUUAAUCUUGCAAGCAAGGUGUGCAUUCAUUCUGCUGUGUUUUAUUGCCUUAAUCCAGCAAGAGUGUGUGUGUUUUUUUUUUUGGGGGGGGGGGAUUCCAUGCAUAGAAGUUGGCUUCCACUCCUGCAGUGGAUACAGAUACGGGCUGCACAUCUCUGUGUCGAUCCACAUCAUGCAGUCUCAAUUGGACAUGCUGAAUGUGUCCUUUGAGGCAGCUGGGAGUGCACAACAUCAUCUAAGGGCACUUGUUGUUGCUGUUGUUUUUUUGUAGGGUGCUAGGGACGCGGGUGGCGCUGUGGGUUAAACCACAGAGCCUAGGACUCGCCGAUCAGAAGGUCAGCGGUUCGAAUCCCCGCAACGGGAUGAGUUCCCAUUGCUCGGUCCCUGCUCCUGCCAACCUAGCAGUUCGAAAGCACGUCAAAGUGCAAGUAGAUAAAUAGGUACCGCCCCAGUGGGAAAGUAAACGGCGUUUCUGUGCGCUGCUCUGGUUUGCCAGAAGCGGCUUAGUCAUGCUGGCCACAUGAUCCGGAAGCUGUAUGCCGGCUCCCUCAGCCAAUAAAGCGAGAUGAGCGCCGCAACCCCAGAGUCGGCCACAACUGGACCUAAUAGUCAGGGGUUCCUUUACCUUUACCUUUAGCUGCAUCUGGCCUGUUUAAUAUCACAACACAUGAGUACACAACACUCAUGUAGAUAGCUUUCUUAUAUUUAUUGGUGAUGGGUUCCUGAGAAGCUCAGAAUAGCAAAGAAACAUGGCCACAGUCAUACAGGUAUGCAGGCAAUACAUUCAGAUUGCCAGGCCACAGACUGAGUGGGACACUCUGUGUUAAAAGCUUUGAAAGGAGAGAGGUGGGAGAAGAUUGGCGAGUGAGGCUUCUCACCUCGCCACAGCAAUGUGACAGGGAAAAUCAGAACAGUCUUUGAGAAAGACUUCUCUUUGUCUCAGAGUUCUUAAGCACAGGAUGGGAAACUUUGUCUGGGAUCACAUUGUUAUGAUUCUAAAUCGGCCAGGGCCUUCAUUUUUAGGAGUAUACAGGCAGAUUUUCUCAUCCAGACUGGAACAUGCACUUUUUCACAGCAAUCUAUAUAUGUACAUGUUCCCAAAUGUUCCCUCUCUGCCCACCCCCAUGUAUGUCAAGUUGACCGCCUCAUUGUCUACCACAGAACUCUAUGGCUUGCACAGGAUUCUGGGGUCGUGUUCUAGGAUAUACUCUCUGUUCAAACAAGGUGCUGGCCUGCUCUGCUGACAUGGUGACUUGAGAGAGGUUCUCAACAAAGACAGUCUUCUGGGGCUGCCCAUUGUGAAAUGGUGGUAGGAGCCACAAAGUUUCUUCCUUUUUUAUGCAGAGAUAUUUCCAGAGAGUAGCACUAGUUGAUUUCUCCGCAGCCCAGUGCCGAUUGGGUUGCAGGGUUCCAUCUUGCCCCUAGUGAAGCUGCUGGGUGCAGUCAUCAUAAAGUUUGGGGUGUGGAGCUUGGUCUCAUCAGUAUGCUGAUGUCUUCCAAUUCUGUAUGUCCAUUACAUCAGAACGACUGUAAUACACUCUGUAUGGGGCUGCCCUUGAAAACAGUAAACUGCAGCUAGUGCUGAAUACUGACACCUCAAUGAAUAGUCACAUAACACUAGUUUUGUGGAAUCUGCAUUACCUGCCCAUAUAUUACCAGUCCCAAGUUAAUGUUCUUAUGGUGAUGUAUAAAGCCUGAAUCACCUGGGACCUGAAUAUCUGAGAGAACACAUCUGCAAAUACCAACCUGUCUGGGCUAUUAUAUCAGCACUCCCAGCAAAUGUUUAUCACUGUAUGAGAACCCAAGAUAGGGCCUUCUCAGUGGUGGCACCCCAUUUAAUGGAACUCCCCCUUGUGGCAUGGUUGAGCCUUUGUCACUACCUAAAUAUGUUUUUAUCCACAUAGACCUAUGGUAGAUCUAUUUGGCUGUUAUUUAUGGAUUUUAAAGCUUUGAUGCUGCCCUAUUCUGUAGGUUUUAUGGUAUUCUUACAUUAUUUGGUGUUUUAUUGUAUUUCAUAAUUUCUAUUGCACCUGUUCAAAAUGUAUCAUUUAUAUUGACAUUGUUUAUUAUUGUCGGGUUUUUGGAAACCCUUUGGUGAUCAUUUUCCUUGAUGAAAAGUGGUAUACAAUUGCUUGUAUAAAUAAAUAAAAAUAAUAAUUUGGGUAACUUCUUUUGGUGAGGUGCAUCACUUAGUGGGCUGCCUGCAUAUUUGCCUCCAAGAGAUUGGCGGCAGUUGUUAAGAGUUACAGUGAUAAAUAGGUAGUGGAAAUUUUAGCUUUGAACACCCAGUUGAGGUGAGAAGCUUUCUUCAAAGAUAAACUUACAUCCUCAGUUGUCCUCUUACUUUCCCCAUUGACAUUAGAUAUGAUUUACAGCUGUGCAAAGUGAGUUUUUGAGUAAGACCCCUCCUCUCCCAAUCUGCUACAUAGAUCAUUCUUACUUGAUAAAUGAGUCUCAAUUAGUCUAAAGCAUUUGCUGAAGUUCAGUGCAUGUGGGGGUUCUAGAAUUCUAAGACGGUUUGUAGACCCAGAAACAAGAUCGCUGUAUUUUUUUAUUUUUUAUUUUAAAUCACCCUGCUCAGAUUCAUUAGGUGGGAAAGCCAGUAUUGGCUUUCAUGGCAUAAGUUAAGCUGCUUAUGUAUACAAUGCUGGCAGCAAUAUGGAUGGAAAAAGCAUGUGUUGAAUACAUCUCGAGUGUCUUGGGUCUCUGAAGGUCACUCUGCUAAAGUAAUAUAUAGUGCCAGUAUUGGUGGCUCAAGGUCAAGUCAGCUUGCUUUUCAUAAUGCAUAAACCUGAAGCUCUCUCAGACACCAAUCAUCUGACCUAAAACCUUGGAACAAAUAUUUUACUAAGUAAAUCAGUGAGCAUGCUGGCAUUUCUAUUAACCUUCAAUGCACUGGUGACAGGAAAUGAAUAAUGAUAAAUAAUAACUCAGGCCUGUAAAUCAUACUUAACAUCACAGGCAGGAAAGGGGGGAAAUUCUGGUAGGCUACCAUCUGUUAAGAGUAGAGCUGGAAGAGCUUGCUUGGAGAAAACAAAGGGGAGCGCACUUGCCCCUUUUCCCAAAGGCUUCCCAAGGUGCCCUUAAUAAUACAGUGAAAGGAAACAUUGAUUUGAAAAUAUAGGUUUCCUAAACCAGACCGAGGUAGGUUAUGUAGGGGACCUUCAUGUGAGGCGGUGAGAUUGUUUUCAGUCCCUAGUCAGCAACUUAUUUUACUAGGUGUCAUAUCUGUGACAGGGCAGGAGCCAAAGGGCCAGCAAAAUAAGGCUGUACCUAUGGACACACUCCCAUAUGAAGUAUGGCAGAGGCAAAAGGCUCCUGAAUCCCUCUUUGUCACUAUGAACACAGCAAAGGAUUUAGCAGAGCCCUCCUCUUAUGAUGAAGUUUAGCUGUUCACUUCCGUUCCACUUGUCCGUGGGUAUGAACAGCUGAGACACACUGCCAUUGUCUCCUGCUGUUUAGGGAGAAAGGACUGAGAGCCCUUUGCCUUACUUGGAGGAAAGUGGCUGGAGUACAGUUGUCCAUGAGACGGGGGGCGAUGCUUAUAUUCUUCCUGGUGGAUAUUGUGUCAUUAAUUGUUGAUGGUUGCACUUUUAAUUUCUUGCUUUUCUGUGUGUUAUCUGUUGCCUGAGACAAAAAAUAAAUCCAACAGAUUUAUGUUAAAUAUGCCUUGUAUUUUAUUUCUUGUCCCAAAUGAGUUUGCAAGCAUCAUUCCCUGGGGCCCAAUUCAUACGUAGGCCCAGUCCUUGCAGCACAGUUACUGCCAGGGCCCUGAAUGGCAAAUGCAUGGUUACUUCUAUGUGGGAAACAAGGAAUGUGUAGAUCCAGUUUAACCACAUGAACCCUGCACCUACUUUUGCUGUUCUCUGAAACUAUCCCAGAAGUUGGAAAGGAAGCACUUAGUCCUUUUUUAUAGAAUGUUAUUUAUCUGUUUAUGUGAUCAUGGAUAGCCUGCAUCAUCAGCCCUAGAAAGGGCUCUCAAGAGUAGCCAACAGAGCAUAUGAAAACACCAAAUCACGUUAAGAGUAAAAUGAACAGUAUCAAAUGAAGCACAAAACUAAUUCCACUGCAGCACACAUGGCAGCAGCCACAGAUGACGACAACCUUCAAAAACGAGAAAGUGCAUUAGAGAGAAAAUGUGUGCCUAAACAAAGCUGUUUUCACUUGUCACCUAUAUCCACACAGCGAGGAAGGCCUGCCAAAGUUCCUUUUUUUUUGUAAGAUAUUUAUUAAGGUUUUUUGAAAUAUUACAACAAAAAUGAAAAAGAAAAAAGAAAAAUACAAAAUAAAAACAGUUAAAAACACACAUAUUUUCCGUUACUUAUUUUCCUUAAGCUUAUUUCCCGGACCUCCUCGUACCUCCCUUUUUUGUAUUCCACUUCAAUUUAUUGGUUCAGCAAAUCCUUACCAUUAGAUUUUAACCCAUUUAUAACCCUUUUUUCAUAUUCUCUUAAAGCAUUACAGCUAGAAACCGCUAAAUUACUAUCCAACAUCAUUCUAUCAUUCAUUAAUUUUACAAUAUUUCUGUAAAUAGUCUUCAAAUUUCUUCCAAUCUUCUUCCACCGACUCUUCUCCCUGGUCUCGGAUUCUGCCAGUCAUUUCUGCCAAUUCCAUAUAGUCCAUCACCUUCAUCUGCCAUUCUUCCAAAGUGGGUAGAUCUUGUGUCUUCCAAUACUUUGCAAUGAGUAUUCUUGCUGCUGUUGUAGCAUACAUAAAAAAAUUCUGUCCUUCUUUGGCACCAAUUGGCCGACAAUGCCCAGAAGAAAGGCCUCUGGUUUCUUCAAGAAGGUAUAUUUAAAUACCUUUUUCAGUUCAUUAUAUAUCAUUUCCCAGAAAGCCUUAAUCCUUGGGCACGUCCACCAAAGGUGAAAGAAUAUACCUUCAGUUUCUUUACAUUUCCAACAUUUGUUAUCGGGCAAAUGAUAGAUUUUUGCAAGCUUGACUGGGGUCAUGUACCACCUGUAUAUCAUUUUCAUAAUAUUCUCUCUUAGGGCAUUACAUGCCGUAAACUUCAUACCUGUGGUCCAUAACUGUUCCCAGUCAGCAAACAUUAUGUUAUGUCCAACAUCUUGUGCCCAUUUAAUCAUAGCAGAUUUCACCGUUUCAUCCUGAGUAUUCCAUUUCAACAGCAAGUUAUACAUUCUUGACAAAUUCUUAGUUUUGGGUUCUAACAGUUCUGUUUCUAGUUUUGAUUUUUCCACCUGGAAGCCAAUUUUCUUAUCCAAAUUAUAUGCCUCCAUUAUCUGAUAAUAGUGAAGCCAAUCUCUCACUUUGUUUUUAGUUUCUCGAAACUCUGCAAUUUCAAUUUGUCUCCUUCUUGUUCCAAAAUUUCCCAAUAUUUCGGCCAUUUGGCCUCCAUAUUGAGCCUUUUCAGAGCUUUCGCUUCCAUCGGUGACAACCACCUUGGGGUUUUAUUUUCCAAUAAAUCCUUAUAUCUUAUCCAAACAUUAAACAGUGCUUUCCUGACAAUAUGAUUUUUAAAUGCUUUAUGUGCUUUGACCUUAUCAUACCAUAAAUAUGCAUGCCAUCCAAAUACGUUGUUAAAACCUUCUAAAUCCAAAAUGUCUGUGUUUUCCAGAAGUAGCCAUUCUUUCAACCAGCAAAAGGCUGCUGAUUCAUAAUAAAGUUUAAAGUCUGGCAGGGCAAAUCCACCUCUUUCCUUUGCGUCAGUUAAUAUCUUAAAUUUUAUUCUGGGCUUCUUGCCCUGCCAGACAAUCUAGAAAUAUCUCUCUGCCACUUCUUGAAACAAUCCAUCUUGUCCACAAUUUGCAAUGUCUGAAACAAAAACAACAUUCUAGGCAAUACAUUCAUUUUUAUCGCAGCAAUACGGCCCAGCAGUGAAAGCUUCAAAUUUGACCAAAUUUCUAAAUCUUUUUUCACUUCCGUCCAACAUUUUUCAUAAUUAUCUUUAAAUAAGUUCCCAUUUUUGGCUGUCAUAUUAAUCCCCAAGGCCUGCCAAAGUUCCUGGAGCAAUGAAUUCCAUUUCCUAUGUACUGCUGUAGAGAAGGUCUGGUCCUGUGCCCCUAUCCUGCACAUCUUCGCAAGCAGCAGGGCCACUUCUGAUUAUCACAGUGUACAGGAAGAGAAAGGUCUGUAGCUCAGUAGUACAACACCUGCUUUCCAUGCUGAAGGUAUUAGGUUCAGUCUUCAGCAUUUCCAGGUAGAGACUCCUGCCUGAAAUCCUUUUGAGCCACUGCCAGUCAGUGUAGAAAAUACUCUGCUAGAUGGACCAUUGCUCUGAUAAGGCAGCUUUCUGUGUUCCUAUGUGCAGAAGGAAAGGGUCCUUCAGAUCACUUAGUCCCAAACUGUUAGGGCUUCAAAUGUGAUAACCAUCAUUUUGAACUGGAACCAGGAGCCAGUGCAAUUGAGAUAAAACUUGUUACAUGGUCUGGUUCCUGUCAGUAGCUUUGUCACUGCAUCCUGCACCUGCUGAAGCUCCUGGACAUGAUUUCAAGGACAGCCCCACAUAGAGCCAUUGCAGUAAUCUUAUUUUGAAGUGGCCAGGGUAUGUACAACUCUGGCAAGAUCAGCUCUGUCUGUAAAAGAUUGUGGUUGGGACAUCAGAUGCUCUUGGCCACCACCACAACAACCUGCUUAUCCAGGAGCAAAGCUAUAUCCAGAAAAAAAACUCCCAAACUACAAGUCUAUUACUUCUGGUGGAGUACAGUGCUGUCCAAAGCUGCAGUGGAUGGGAUGAGCCUCUGGCUCUUCUUGUGGACAUAAUUCCAAAUGUUUCUUGCAAUCCUGUUGCUUUUAAAACAAAGGCUGAAGGUGACUCAAUCAUUCUAUAGCUACCUUCAUAUGUAUGCUUCUUGGGGUUUGAAGCUGUGUGAUACGUUGCUUAGUGUUAUUCUAGUCUAGAGAACAGUAUCCAAAAUCUAGAAUGAAAACUACUAAAAAAAUUCUGCAGAUUACCAAGUGCUCCCUAGAAAGCUGAAAGAACUCAUUGAGUCUUAAAAGGAUGCAGAUUUCAGUUGCUUCAUGUUAGAUGAUUACCUGCAUAAGUAAUCUUAUUUGAGAACUGUUCUUUGCUGGAAUUGUUCUGUAUGGUUCAAUUCAUAGAUUGCCCCCUCAGUACUAAUACUGCAAGAGGAUAUUUGUGCCAUGUGGCAAACUCCAGUAGUAGCAGACCAGUAAACCUUAUAUCUAUCAGUGGAAAUGCCAAACUACCUGGAUCUAAUCUGGAUAAUCAGUGAACCAUUGCAUCCUUUGGCUUGGGAAUAAUGUGUGCCCCCCCUUUUUUUUACUGUCUAGACCUCUCUUCAGCUGUGAUUACUUUUGACUACAUGAUCUGAAUAGACUGUAAGAAUCUGACUCCAUCGCAUUGCCCUAAUAAUAUCUCUCUUGUUCUUUAAUUAUCUCCUAUAGUAUCUUGAGUUACUUGCAAGAUUGACACAUCCAACUAGCCACACUGGUGAGUCUCUCUAUCUAUUGAUCGAUCAAUUGAUCUAAUUUUACCCUUGGUUCAAGAAGCUCAGAGUGGUGUACAUAUACAUAUUGUUAUUUUUUAUAUCCUGCUGCUAAACACAGAGAUGGUUCUUACAAAAAAAAAAAAAAAAGACAAAGAGCAAACAUAUAAAUAUUGCUUUGACUCUUCUUUGUAUUUUACAGACUCUACAUAUUUGCAUGGAAAUAACUUCCAUUUAUUUCAAUGGGACUUUAUUGCAAGUUAGUGUGCCACCGCUUAUGAUUCUACCCUUUGGGACUGGAGGUGGCUUCUCUAGAACCUAUAAUUAGAAAGCAAAAAAUAAAACAGUAAAAGCAAAAUGAAGACACUGGUUUCCAGUUAGCAAGAAGAAAUAUAUUGCAAAAAUAGAUGUAUUCUCUUUUGUCAGGUGCCAUAGUCUGGUCUGAGCCUAGCCAAAGGCUACAUUAGCUCUUCAGCUCCUUGACUGUAGAAGUGGUACCAGGAGCAAGAGGAGGAGCAGGCCAGGAAAGGGUGUGGAGAAUGGCCUUCCUCGGUGAUCAGACUCAUUAUUCCCCAACAGCGGGGUUCCAUAGGAGGCAGUGGCUUGGGAUUUGUUCUCUGGGAAAAUCACCUAGUAUGAGGAGUAUUCUCGCCUUCAUUUUUAGCAGCUUGGUUUCAGCUGCCUGAAACUAUCUUCUCUGACUGGUGACUCCACCGAUGUGAGAAGUAGGGAACUGGUGCCCAACCAGCCAAGUUCUUGGUUCAAAUCCCAUUGCACCUGAUGAAAAUGUGCCUAACAGUUAUGUCAAGGACAGGGAUCCUGUGGCCCUGCAGAUGUUGCUGGAGCCCAACUUCCAUAAUGCCUGACUGUUGGCCAUGCUAGAUGGGGCUGAUGGGAGUUGGAUUCAAUCAACAUCUGGACUACUAUAGAUGUAAAGAACAACGUAGCAUUAAGCAAUGGAUGUGCACAACUGAAAUCUGAAAAUGUUUGCCUUGUUUUGUUUCAUGCUUAUGUGCUAACAUAAGCUUCCCCAUCCCAUAAUAUACUACCAACAUAACAUAAUAAGUCCAUUAUUAUGUUGGAUCACGUAUUAUAAGAAUCCCGGCUUCUGUCUUAAUAGAGGGCAGACUAUGGAGCCUAACAGUUAUCUGCAUGCACAUGUAUACCUGUGUGUGUGUGUGUGUGUGUGUGUGUGUUGUAUCUUAUUAAUAUGCAUGUGUAAUAUAAUACUAAUCUCAAUAUUUUGAUGUUAUGUGGUUAGGUGCUGCAUUAAUUUCUCUAAUCUUGUUAUUGUUCUUCUGUUGUAAGAGAAAAGAAAAAGAAAGAUGAAUCUUAACCUGAAUGAACUGGUAGAUUAGUUGAUUUAUUUUACCCAUUGCCUAGACCUGGUCCUCCCCAGAGAAAGCCUUUCCAAUUAAGCAAAAAUAAGCCAAACUGUGUAAUGUGGAUUCUGAUGGAUGCUAACCCCUACAAGAGACAGACAAAUUAAUUUUCAAGACUUUAACAUGUAGUCUGUAGCCAGUUCCUAAACAGAAAGCUCAGCGUUUUAUCCCUUUAAUCUCUACCCUCCACUUUUUCAAAUACAAAUUAAAUCAUUUAACAAUGAUUUAAUAAGCACUAAAAAGUGUAAUGAACCGGGUAAUGAAUAGGCGCUCAUAUUUUAUUUUCCCACUUUGUGCACAAACUACUGUGCAGUCCUCCUUGUACAUUUCGUUGGAGCUUCCAGAGGAGAACGUCCCGUUGAGUUAGGCCCUUUCUCCUUUAUUUUGCACAUUCCUGAUUCAUCUAAGCCACAAAAGAAUAAUCACGAGAACAGGUGAAAACCCCCACACUCAUAUGGACUGAAAUUUUGUCUUGGGAGAAGAAUGGUGUGGCCAUCACAAAUAAAGGCAAAGCACAACAUUGGAGGGGAUUCCGCACUUGAGAUGUUCCCUUACAAACUACUUGUACCUUCUCCCAUCCUUAAAAAUAGUUGUGGGGUUGAAGCUGGCCUUCAAGUGUAGAGUAGUGUUCUGAACAUACACAUAAAAUUUCACUCUAUUAUGUCAUUAUUCCUGACUCCCUUGAAACCAGAUCUGGUUUGCAGAGGCAUGAAGUGUAACUAGUGUCCCUUGCACCCUCAGCGGGAGUGGUGACAAUUUCACCCCAGCCCUUUGCCAGGGCUGGGGUCGCUGCAGCUUGUAAACGGCCUUGGUCCCGUCUCCACCCCGCCCCCAUUGUUCAGCCCGGACACUGAGAUCCAGUGCUGAGGGCCUUCUAGCGGUUCCCUCAUUGUGAGAAGUGAGGUUACAGGGAACCAGACAGAGGGCCUUCUCAGUAGUGGCACCCACCCUGUGGAACGCCCUCCCAUCAGAUGUCAAGGAAAUAAGCAGCUAUCCUAUUUUUUAAAGACAUCUGAAGGCAGCCCUUUUUAGGGAAAUUUUUAAUAUUUAAUGCUGUACUGUUUGUAACACUCAAUUGGGAGCCGUCCAGAGUAGCUGGGGAAACUCAGCCAGAUGGGCAGGGUGUAAAUAAUAACUUGUUGUUGUUGUUGUUCCCACCUCUGCGCGGAGUGAUGGCGUGAUCACUUAGAAGUGAUGGCGAUUUUACCCACAGUAUACUGCCAGGUGAAGGCGCCAUUGCACUCUGGCCCUCAAUAUAUCACCCAGGCCUACAGUGAAUGAUGAGGAAUGCGAUCUUGGGAGUCACAGUGGAUAACGUUGGAACCAUUGUGCAGCAGCUGUGAAAAAAGGCAAAUUCCAUAUUACAACUGCCCAUAUAAUAAUGCCACUAAACACAUCUGUGGUGCAACCACAUUUAGAAUAUUAUGUACCAUUCUGAUCACCUCACCUUAAAAAUGAAUGUUGUGGAGUUGGUAAAGGUGCAGAAAGGAGCAACUGAAAUAAUCAGAAUAGUGGAACAACUAUAUUCUGAGGAAAGGUAGCAGUAUUUUAGCCUUUUUAGUUUGGGGGCAAAGUGGGGACAUAACAGAGGCGAGUAAAAUUAUGUGUAGUGGAAAGAAAGUAGUGGAAAGUUCUGACUGAUCAGGAUCACAUUCUGAACAUGAUGACACCACAGUGUCAUAUAGCCAAUCAGAUUUAGCAAUGUCCUGAUGUCACUGAGGACAAAUGAAGCCCAUACAGAGAGGGCAACAUUUCCUAUACCGGUCACAUGACUAGCCCUAGCUUAAAUAGGACUGAUUCUCAGAACUGAGUUACUUCUCAGCCCUUUCAUAAUGAUCCCUGAAAACUUACCCACCAUUUUGGGCUUAGCUCCCCAUACCAGAUGGUCCAUCUCAGAGAAGUAAAUGAUAAUGUUGUUCUUACUGGCUAUCUAAGCAGCAGCAACAGCAACAACAAAACUUAACCAGAGUUUGUUUCUGUGUGUAUAAGUGUGCUGGUUUACACAUUUGCUUCCCAAGUAUCAUACUUAUCUGCAUAAUAUAAUAUGUGAUCCCAAGCAUUAAACACAAAGGUACUGUGCACACUAUCCUUUUGGCUGUUUUUUAAAAGACUUUAGAGUUAACUAAGAUGAAUCUACAGAUUAAUUAAAAUUAAACAGUGGGUAUUCAUUUUGUGGUACAGUCCAUGAUGAAUAGCUCUGAAACCCACGUCACAAAUGAAUAAAUGGUUCUUCAUCUAUUCCAUGUGACUUUAUAGACAACUUGAUAUAUUGUAGCCAUAGAUGUCUCAAUGAAUGUAAUCACUUGAUCAUAAUAGAUCAUAUUGCAUUAGGAUAUGACCGGAGAUGUAAUUUACUAUCCAAAGUGUGAGGUAUUAGCACUGCUGAAAUAAUCUCUACAUGGAACAAAGCACUUUGAAUUCAUUACGCGCAGGCUUUGGACUUUAAAACGUUAAUAAUAUUGUAAACUAAAGGUACACUUUGUGUACCAUAAAUCUAAGUGUCUGUUCAUCCUUUGCGCUCAAUAAAUAUACUUCUCAUCAACUUUUAAUUAUGCUGUUUACAUUAUUCUGUCCUGAAGAGGAUAACGCUCAGUAAAUCACUUACUUCUAGUGUAUACUGCAGCAUAAGUUUAGUUAAUUAAACCAUAUAUUUUAUUAGUUCUUGCACUUCCAUCUUGCAAAAGUAUACACUGCUCUUCUGGGGGGUGGGGUGGAAAUAGGGAGGUCUUUAUUUAUGUUAGAGUCAGUGCUAGAGAAACUGCAUGCAGCUUGAUUUUUUUUCUUAACAUUUUCCAGUAAUGAUGGGCUACUCUCAGCCAACAGAUGGCACCAGAGAGCAAGAAAGCAAAUCAUAGGGGAACCAACAACCUUAGAGGUUUCCGCAUAGGACAGGGUCCCAUUACUGUUGGAGGAUGGCUGGAUUUGGAAGCCAUUUCCAUUUCCAGCUACUUAGUGUCACAAUUUUCACUGGCGGGCGUGGGGUGGGAAUGAUUGAAAGCGGCUUCAUGACACACUAAGAUUCAAAUGUUACUUUUAAGCCCAUAAUCUGACCAUUCUGAUUAGCUACAUUUAUGAGUAGAGAUGUGGCCAGCCAUAUCGUUAAGGGGAGUGAGACAGCCACCUCAGGCAGAAGAUCCCGGGGUGCUGGAGGCCAGAGCUAUGCCCUGCAUUCCCUAAAUCAGUGUUUCUCAACCUUUUUCCGAACGUGGCCCCCUUCCAACCUUGUUUUCUUCCUGUGCCGCCCCCCACCCACCCAUCCUACUGGUACAAAGGCCAUCUUUCUAGUGCAACCCCCUGCAAUGUAGGAGACUCAGCUAAAGCAUCUGACAGUUGACCAUCCAACCUCUGCUUAGAAACCUCCAUGGAAGGAGAGUCCACAACCUCCCAAGGGAGAUCCAUCUUCCAUGUAUUAUAAAAAGUAAACAACACUUAUUUGACCCCAUUUAUUUGACACAGAGGGGGAAACCUACAGAUACAGUCCAAAAGUUGCACAGGGAGUUCUGUAUAUAUGGGCAAAAAAGCAAAAAGAUCUUGCCAUCCAGAGAAGCCCUGGCUGCCUAGAUAAAACACUACAGUCCCACAUACCCUUGCAUGGGAGUAAGGCCCACUGAACUCAGUGUGGCUUUCUUCUGAGUAGACACUUAGUUAUUUACUAGAUGCAAGACAGCAGCAGCAGAAGGCCCCACUCCGCUAGGCUCUGGGAUGGAUUGCACCCUGCGCCUUGAGGUGCUGGCCGAUGCUGCCGAUGAGUCCUGUUGGGAUUUUUCAUAGAAUCAUAGAAUUGGAAGGCACCCUGAGGGUCAUCUAGUCCAGCCCCCUGCAGUGCAGGAAUUGGGGGUGUUCUAAAUACUGGUGCAUAACUGCAUUCUGAUCUGCACAUCAGUUUGACAGGUGCAGAUCAGGUGAGUGUAUAUAUUUCUCACAUGCUGAAAUCCUCACAAUAUAUAAGCAGAACAAUUCUGGCCCAGCCUUCAUGAUUUUGCAUAUUAAUAAGGAAAGUAGGCAUUUUGUGGUAUCCCUUCAGAGAUUAGUCUUUUCCCUCCACUUAUAAUUGAAUUAGCAUUGACCCCCCCCCCACCUUGCACACAGGAAAAAGUGCUCAUCCGCUUAUAAGAUCUAUGUAGACCAUUGUGAAGCGAUUGAAAGACAUUCUCCUGUAAUCAGAAUACAAGUUGUGUGGCUUCUCAAGAAGACAAUCUAUUUACCAGAUGUUUUCAAUGUCAAAGCAUCCCCUUGGGGCUGGUUUUGCCCAACCCCCACCACUUAGUGAGGGAAUUCCAAAUACAUUAGCUCCACCCCUCCAUUGUCCUCCAUGAAAUGUAUUAGGCCAGGUAUAUUGCCAGUGAUGCAGUGUUUUUAAAUCUUUUUUUCUGAUUCUCAGCAGAUACAAUGUGGAAAUUAUUUCCCUGCCAUAAUAUAUUCCAGUUUCUGGCUCCCAGCACUUAACCAGUGUCUUAUUCCCAGGCUAUACUAACACCAGAUGGACUGGUAGGCCUGGUAUUCAAUAGGCUAUCAUAUAUGUUUGAAACUAGGCCGUUCCAGGAACUCUGGGCAGUUGGCCCCAGUCCCUCAAACUGAGCCCCACUCCUGUUAUUUAACAACAGGAUAUUUUUAAAAGCGAGUAACCUGUUGUAACAGUAGCCCAAGGAUUUGAGGAUUCUGCAAAGUUGCUUUAAUGUAAUCCUGUGUCACUGGUAGCCCACGGUUAUAGAAAUCUCUUGUGCAAUAUUGUCCCCACUUCCUCCAGGUGGACAGUUGUUGGGCUCUAUCUCUGUUGUUAAAGAGCGAAUGACCUCAGGGGAAGAAGAGGGGUGAGUGGAAGAGACAGUGGGAUUUGCCAUCUAGACCAGACUUGCAUGGUGCAAUUUAAAGGAGGAUUCUUCACUAAGUCAAAUUGUUUUCCUGUCAAAGAGAGAAGCAGAAAUGUAUCCAAUGUUCUGUUGUCCUGUUCUAUGGUCACCCAUUGUUCAUCUUCCCCAUUAAUAAGAAAGUAGAUGCAUUGACAUCAGUUUGAUCCAAUGAGUUCCCACAAAGAUAGAUACAUUAUUUCAGGAAACCACUUUUAAUGUCUAAUUUGGCUUCCUGCACCACAAGGUUAAAGUUACUUUCCUGAAAUUUGUGUAGGUUAUUUGGGAUCCAAACACCUAGUUAUUUAAUAAUCUUAUGGCAAGGGACUGCCCAAAUGGCCACUUGAUCCUUGAUGACUUCUGGGACCAAUGUGAACGUAGACUAUUUCUGAUUUAUGAUAGCUGAGAGAUAGACCUGCCAAUAUACCGUUGGUCUCAAAUCAAUUUGUGCAUUGGAUUUGCACAUUGAACACGAUGGAUUGAAUAAAACAGUUGAUUUUAGCUGUGAUUUUCCUCUGGUGUGCUUAACUUUAUAUAUAUAUAUAUAUUUGUAAUGUUAUUGAGUUAUUAAGUAUAUUGCUAGCUUGUGCAUUUACAGUGGUACCUCGGGUUACAGACGCUUCAGGUUGCAGACUCUGCUAACCCAGAUAUAGUACCUCGGGUUAAGAACUUUGCUUCAGGAUGAGAACAGAAAUCGUGCGACGACAGCAGCAGGAGACCCCGUUAGCUAAAGUGGUGCUUCAGGUUAAGAAAAGUUUCAGGUUAAGAACGGACCUCCAGAACGAAUUAAGUUCUUAACCCGAGGUACCACUGUAAUUUGAACAGAGGUGGCAACACUUUCCGAGUAGACGACUACAUUCCCUUGGAGUAAAGUGGCCAGGGUGGUGGAUGGGGCCAAAGCAAAAAGUGGGUGUGAUGUCCCUUCUUUCCUCCUCCCCAUCCACCCAUGGGAAAAUAAAACUGCUAGCACUUUUGCAAAGCUAAGCAGGGUCCAGUAAGGUUUCAAAUUGGAUGGGGGACCCCGUGUUGAGAUUUCCUACAUUGCAGAGGGUUGAACCUAGAUGGCUCUUGGGGUCCCUUCUAACUCUACAGUUAUAUGACCUGAUUCUAUGAAACAUUCUUUCUGCCUCCUUCCCAGAUGUAUGAGGAAGUGGGGUGUUGUAUAUAACCUCCUGGGCUGGAGGUUGCUGUCCUGUGAAUUACAGAAUGAAUCUGGGCAGAAUAAGUCUCCGGCUUGAGGUUACAUGAAUGAUGGUGUUUGCCUGCUGUUUCUCCCCGUCAACUACCGGUAGUUCUUUGGUUCACCGAGGAAGUUGUGUAUUUUUGGCAUACCCAUGUUUGUCAGAAACUGUUUAUUCACUCUGCAUGUGCAUUUGUUGUUGAGAUGAAGGAAGACAUCUCUGGAUUUUUAUUUAUUUUUUGGUAGCAUGACUUAAAAGGAAAAGCACCGCAUAAGCAAAUUGGCAGUUUGUUAAACAUAAUGAACGAGUAUAUACCCCACUUCUGAAAUAACUGUUACAGAAAUCUGGUUGCUUUUUCCAGUUCCCUUUUAAAAUUAAUGCACCAGUUCCGUUUAAAAAUUCUUCUUAAGCCACAAAAGGACACAGGAAGGCAUGGGAGCUUCAAAACAGUGAGGCCGCUUAUUCUCUCUUUGAGAUGGUUAAGAGCCCUACACAUUUUUCCUCUCCCCUCCCUCCCUCCCUCUCUCUCCCCCAUUGUGUGUUAUUGAUGGAGUGUACACUUCUCUAACCCCACUGCUCAGUACUUAAUACAAAAGUGGCCCGGAGCUCUGAACCUAUAUGCUUUGACUUUAAACACAAGCAGCAAAACUAAAGCUCACUGAAAACAAUGACAUUUAUUCAUAAUAUUAUCACCAGACAGAGGGGUCACAAAGAAAGAAAGUGCUUUCUCUUUUAACUGCAGAAGGAGCGGGGGAGGCCCCCUGGAGGUAGAUGUAGCUUCUGUAAUGGAACCCACCUGACGGAAACUGUUCUAUGAUACUUGCCAGCCGAAGAGCACCUAUAGCUUUUACUUGGGGUGGGGGGGGGAGGAGCAUGUGGCCGUAUGAUUAUGAAUUGACGGCUGUGAGCUGAAUUAAGCAGCAAGUAGCAAUGUUCCAUUUAAAAGACACUGCAUGCACCCCUUCCCCAGAUAGCCUCAUUUUUUGCUUCUUUCUUUUUACAAGUCUCCAAAGAGGCUUUAAAAGUGCUUCCAAGUCAGUACUGCUUGAAGUUAAUUAAAAGGCAUUCAGCAGUGUGAUGCGUUUACACAGGGUGGCUGGGAUUACUCAGAUGUUGCAGGACGCCUCUCUGUUAAUGGCUGAUGUAGCGAUAGUGGUAAUGCUUCUGAUAGCGAUGGCUAGACCAAGGAUGGCUGGCCAACAUCUGUAGGGGCAACAUUUCUCAGGAAAUAGCGGGAGGGAGGAGGUUGUAUCAUCUUACGUUCUUGAGCAGCCUCAGAUUUGGAGCGAGUGGGGUUUGCUUCACUCAGAGUCCUCCUCUAUUCCUUACCCAGCAGCAGUGGGGAACAGCCACCCAAUUAUUUGGUUUGCAGGAAAUUUGUAGGGGCCCCUGACAAGACAUUUUGGACUGCCAUGAUUAUGAAGGGCAGCUGUGGGCUGCCCCAAUUCAGCCAGUAGUUUCUUUGGGGUUUGGUGCAGGAUCUCUGAGGCACCCCUUGUUCUUCCCAUUUGAGAGCUGUGACACACACACACACACACACACACACACACACAGUAUUUGUGUUCCAUACAAAGACUUUAACAAGAUAGAUAACAUUUAAAGGAGACGUGGCUAAACUAUGGCUGCCCAGAUGUUCUGAACUACAAUUUUUGUCAUAUCUAGCCUUUGGCCAUGCUGGAUGGGAAUUAACCACCCCUGAUUUAAAGUGGGCAAUAUCUCUGAUUCCGACAAGUUGUGAACAUAUCCUUAUUCUUUUUAGUGAAACAGUUUUCCCCCCUCUUGACUGGAAACUUGUACAACUGCUAGAUCAAAAGGAUAUCAAAAUGGAUUCCAGUUUGUGGGCCCAUUGACCACCCCUGAUCCAUACCAUUGAAAAGAAGCAACUCAUUUGCAGAGAGCAGAAACAAGCUGGGUCAAAGGGUAUAGGCAGACUGAGCUACAAGGAGGACUUUGAGCCUAAGGAAGACCCUACAUGCAAUUGCGAUGAGUACUUCCCAUAGAAUCUCUUCAACUGAGACUCCUCACAUAAUACAGGAGAGACGGGGUGAUUUAUAUGUUGAAAAUUAUCAUUUGUCUGGUGAGCGAAGUUUGAAACAGCAGUCCCCUGAUAGGAUUUUUGAAAAUGUGUUUCUUAAGUAUCUUUGGUAGUAGAACACAAACAUUGUUUUCAAAUUCAGUAUGCUUUUAAUAAUAAUAAUAAUAAUAUCCAGAUUAUUGAAAGAGCACUCUCUGGAACAUUAUAAGAAACACAUUCUAUGUGUCCUUUAUGAUUAUAACCAAAUAAUAAGGGUUUUCAACAAAAAAAGUAGUUAAAAAAGAAGUUUGUCUUGGGUAACUGAAGAUGCUUGUAAAAACAGAUAGUCUGAAUAUGGAGGCAAUUCUCUACACUGAUAAUCACUCCUCACCCGAAACUGUCAAGGAAUUCAGCCCACAAAAAUGGAACAAUGUCGCAAUUGCCACUUGUAAAUGACUUAAGACAGCAAACUGAAAGACUUUGAAAUCCUUCAUGCUGUGUAAUGGCCUACAUGCUGUAAUUCCAAAUGAUUCAGGAUACCACAGUUCAUGUUACAGAAGAUUCACAGCUCUUCAAGUUUUACAAAUAUAGGCCAAUGUCAACAAAAAGACCAUCUGUUUCAAAGUGAUGUCCAACAUCAUCCGACAUCUUUAUCUGAAACGCUUACAGACUUCUGCAUAUUCUGCAACCAAAAGCAGGCAAAUGAAGGUGGGAAUGAAUUGAAAUAUUAUGUUAAACACAACCCACCAGACACAUGUUUUUUUUGGGGGAUGACAAAUAAAUUUCUCCGGCUUUUAAGACUACUGGCAAAGGAAAUAAUUCCUCCAAUAAUUUAUGAUCAUCAGGGAUAUGGAAAACCUCUCUUUAUUUCAAAGGAGUUUCACAUUUUUCUGCCUUACAGUCUUAGAUAUCUGCAGAAACUGUGAACACUGGAAACAGCAUCUAAAUUUGUUGCUUUCAUGUAAUAUACAUAUGGAAGCACAUUAGUUCUUAAACCUCCAGCUAGUCUGUGUAACGGUUUGCACAUCCAGCUGUUGUUUAUUUUUCCCAGUGGCAGCUGCAUAGGAUAGGUGAGUUAGAUAUCUCUGUUCAUACAGCAAUCUUAAAAUAUCUACAUCAGACAAUGGGUUUGUGGGUUACAAAAACUCUUUGUUUUGUAUUACUUGGUGUUCACAUUUAUUCCUAUCGGAAAGAGAUGAUAUAAUCAAGAUAGAUUAUACUAGCUAUUCUAGUUGAUUACAGAUCUCUAAAGUUAAUUGGUAAUGUCAUUUUGAGCAUACCACCCACGCUAGAACAAUAAGGCCAUCUUCUGGAGGCAACAUAAGACCUUUUUAUGUGGGCAAGAGUACUAUUUUUUUUAAAAGAACUGGUUUCUUUCCCACUUUUAUCAAAAUGUAUUUGAUUCAAAUACAGUCAAACAGAAGAUCAAACAGUUACAAUGACAAAGAAUUGAAUGAUAACUAACAGAGGUGGCUUAAUAAAUAAAAUGAUCUCUCUCAAUCAGCACCAUCUCUUUUUUGUUUCUUUUAAAAUCCAUAAUAGGCACAGUCUAGCAAUAAAUUAAGCAUGAUAUAUAGCACAGCUCUGUGUGUGUUUCCCCAGAAGCAAGUCCUAUUAAGUUGCCACUGAGUUAAAUAAGACUUUAAUGGGUAAGUAUGCUUAGCUGGCAGCCAUUAAACCCUACCCGAAAUAUAUUCUGCUUCAUAAUGGUUGUGAUCUGCCCUGAGAUAUCAAGGAAAUGGCAGGUUCUAAAUGUAAAGAAACAAACAACCUAUCACACUGUAUGGCAAGUGGGGGGUUAUGGGCUCUGCCCUGGACACUAAAGAACAAAAAAUGAAAGAUAAUUGCUAUGAACUUGGUCUGGCAGUGGUGUUUGUUUGACUUGAUUGCUGCUGUUGUUUCCUUUUUUAAAAAAACCACUCCAUGCUUAAUACAUUUUCAAAUAAUUCCUUAAAUAAAACCAUAGCAAUCCCAAGUCUUAAUCCAUAGGAAUCUCAGGCUUUUCCAACCCAUUGAUUCCCUUUAAAGGGUGUCUUUGAUCUUGGAUCCUAAUGUUUUUCUGAUAAAUUAAAUGUGCACAUUACCCUAGAUAGUACCAUCUUUUGAGUUAUACAUCAACAGAGUGACUCAUUCUGAUGAUGUAUUCUAUUAAUACAUCAUCAAAGCACCUUGUAGUGCUGUUGCACUAAUGACAUGUUACUGUAAUACAUCAAUGAAGUGAACUGCACUGAAGAUGUAUUACUUAAAUGGAGAUAGCCUUAUAUGAGCGAAGGUUGAGGAAUUGAGUGCAAUUUUAUGCACAAGCAAAAAGCUAGCUAUCAUUACAGAGGAGAAGAAAUUUCCUAAUAGUAAUGCUGGCCCUAAAUGACUACCACAGUCCACAAAGCCAAAAGCAAUGAACUACUUAUAUUCUGCAGGACUUACUGUGGUAGCAACAUUUUAUGUUUGACCUCUGUUUCUACUGAUAUGCACUAUGGUUCUCAAUCAAGGAAGUCCGUCAGCUCCAGCAUCUGAUUCCCUGCACAGCUAUGAGGGUGACACUCAGUAUCUUGGAUAACACUGAUGCAGCUGGCCAGGAUGUAUUAUAGUCUUGUUGUGGCCUGGCCCAAGAAUCUUCAGAGACUGAGUUCUCUGGUUCAGAGGAGGAGCCAGACCAUCUCCCUAGUCCUUUCCAAGUAGGGCUUUCAAAGGAGUCCCUGGAAAACAUUUCCCAAUCAAGUCUCCACUGCUCUGGCAUUCACUUUCCAAAAUGAUCCCAAGACUGCAAAGCAAGAUAUGGACUCUUGAAAACAGUCAGAUGCAGCAUCUGUGUGGGGCAAGGUGAAUGGGAGUGGGGGAUGGAACCAUGUAGACACAAACCCUUGGCCAGUCUAUAAACCCUGAUAGUUGCUGAUACUUAGGUAACUCGCCUCCUACUCUAGCAGCAGAAUUGCAAGGUGUGGUACUGAUCUCAUGCCAACAAUCCCUUGGUCAGGAGCUGUUGUCCUGCCCAAUUUCCUGAAUCUUUUCUGUUCUAGAUCAGCACCAACUCAUUGCUUCAGUUCCUACCCUCUUACCACAGCCACUACCUCCCUGAGUUGACAGGAUCUCUGAUGCAUUAGGAUAACCCUACUGAUGAUGAUGCAGAUUAUCAAGUGGUGGAAAGAAACUAUAGUGCUUCACAUUCUCUGAUGAAUUCACGUUUGGCUGGGUUCUUCAGUUUGACCAUCCUGCCUCUAGUGUGAUUUUUUACCCUCCUUAACAUUCUCUUGUUUUCAACCUAAAUGAACACUGCUGUUCAUCUGGUUGAUGUGUGGCAGCAGUCAUUGGACUGGGAGGACUAGUUAGACCUUGGGCUUAUAAGGGCAGAGGCUGGGCCAACCAAUGGACAGAAGGGAUGGUGGUGGUGCCUAGUGGCUGUCUCAGAGUGGAAUGAUCCAUACAGAACAGCCCUAUGCGAUUCAGCCCCCCUUUCCAUUAUCCACCAUUGAUCUCCUUCUCUAUUGCCUAGCUAAUGCUGCCCUGAUAGUGACCAGAGCAAAUAAGGCAACAUGGCAGCAAACUCAAGGUUCUUACCAUUUGUUGCAGACAAUUUAAGUUCCAACUGGAAUGAAGGAUGUAGGCCAGUGCUGUAUUACUGCCAGCUCAGAGGAAGUUAGUGAGCUAUUACUAAGCUGAGUGGUUUGUGGCUGCCACUUUGACCUAUUGGCUUCAGUGAUGGACUGUCUUACCAUUGCCCCCCAGAAAGCAUGGGGAAGCCAUUUGGACUAUUUUGGAGGUGUAUGUGAAAUUUACUAGUACUUGUAGGAUCCAAAACUACAAGUACACAAAACUAUUGCUUAUUUGAGACCUGAUUGCUUUUUCUCAUAGAGACUGAAACAUCAUUGACCGAGUACUUGGUAUAUAUGUCUUUAGGUUUUGUAUUGCACACAAUGAAAACUGCUGCAGUUGUCUCCGGUUUUACUAUUUUCACCUGAAUAUUGCUAUUAUGUGUAUAUAUGAAGGUAUCACCUUCAAUGCUGUUUGACAAUACAUUUUCAAACUACUCCCUGCAUCCCACCCUAAAAAAACCCUUCACUGUGACUGUUGUGUGCAACAAAAUUGAUUAUCAGAUCACACAGGCACGCUGAGUAUCUUGCAUGCAGUAGCUAAGUGUUCUCAAUUUGGUGCAUGCAACUCUUGCCCUUUAGCAUUGCUCUUAAUGGCUUUCACUCAGCAAAGCACUCAUAGUCAAUAUGGAUCUAAUUAGCAUUUCUUUUCCAGAUAGAUCUAUAUUGGCCCAUUAGUACUGAUUUAACCUUUAUGUUUCAGUCAAACAGAAUCACAGAAAAAUUAGAGUUUGUGAUCUGCAAGAAAGGGGUGGGAACUAGCGCUUCCUCCUCCGCUUCUUAAAUUUAUUCACCACUUAAUGCAAAAUGCAACUUACAAUUAAAACGGGAUUAUACAAUAUCUAUCUAUCUAAUAUAUAAAGCAGUCUUAAAAAGCAAAGGCUAAAUAAAUAGAGAAUCUCCUUUCAGCAAAUAUUAACCCCAGUGGAAACUAUUAAAUCAUCAGCAGAGGAAAGAUGGCAAACUCCACAAACCUGAAAACUGUUGCAUUGUAACAGAGCUCCUAGAGUCUUGGAGUACAGCUAGGGCACAACUUUAUUUAUUUAUGGGCAGAAUUUUACCAACAUGUUGGUAGUGGUCUGGGUGUCUGUACCAGUUUUGGAUCCAAGCAUAUUCUGAGCUUUCUGCCCCAGUGACUCCUAUGUUAAGUUUUUGAACUUGGCUAAGUAUGCCCAUUUCCAGGAAUUCCACAAACUCUGCUGGGUGGUUCCUACAUGCUUCCUAUGCCACUGAUUGCAAGCAUGUCUGGUUUCAUCUUCUAUGUGCUUCAUUCCCGCUCCCCCCCCCAUCUUUUCUACCAGCCACAGACAAAUUGUGAUAGUAAUUCAAUGUAUAACUUUACAGUGAUACCUCAGGUUUACAUACGCUUCAGGUUACAGACUCCACUAACCCAGAAAUAGUACCUCGGGUUAAGAACUUUGCUUCAGGAUGAGAACAGAAAUUGUGCUCUGGCGGCGUGGCAGCAGCAGGAGGCCCCAUUAGCUAAAGUGGUGCUUCAGGUUAAGAACAGUUUCAGGUUAAGAACAGACCUCCAGAACGAAAUAAGUACUUAAGUACUGUAUAAACAUUUCUCUAGGUGUUGCCCAACUGACGGGGGGAGGGAGAGGGGUAAUGCCCAGCCUUGAUCUAUCCAGACAACAUGAAAACUUUUCUUCUGGGCCCCAGUUGAAGGGCCUGAUUGCGGCCAAGCCAAACAAAGUUAGCCAAAGUUAACUUUGUUUCCACAAAACCUAGCUCAGUUGGUUUAAAAUAACCCUUUGCUAAAUAAAGAGGCCCCACAAACACGAAAGGGAGCAAGCCCCUCUGAUUUGUACAACGGAAGAAAUAGAAUAAUGUACCGUAACUAUAAAAAAGGAAGGAAGGGACAAAUGGAAAUGGGGGGGGGGGAGAGAAUGUGAACAGAUGGAGGGAAAUGAGCUUAAGUGAAGAAGGGAAGCUGAGGAUAGAGAAAAAAGAUGGAGGCAAGGAAGGUAACCAGACAAUGGAUAGAAGGAAGAGAGGCAAAGAAUAGAGGAAAGGCAGUAGCAGUAUGCUGUGCGCUUGACAAACCCAGGAAUAGUUUCCUUCCAUUCUAAGGCUCAUAUCUCUCUUGCAUUCUCUCCUCUGUCACACCCACCCACCCACCUCUACCUUACCUAGAGUGAGGAGCACCAUGACUUCGAAGGGUCAUUGGCCAAUGUUCCACCCGGCUGGCCACCUGCUUCCACCAGCCCUGGAUCCAGUGCUCUGGUGGAUUUGCCAGUCAGUGUGACUAGCAGGAACUAUGAUUUCAUGAAUUCAUCUGGUAGCAAAUGUGGCUGAACUGGGGAGGGAGUGAAUUGAGCCUUCAGUGUUUAAACCAGGGGUCAGCAAACUUUUUCAGCAGGGGGCCGGUCCACUAUCCCUCAGACCUUGUGGGGGGCUGGAAUAUAUUUUUUUGGGGAAACAACAAAUUCCUAUGCCCCACAAAUAACCCAGAGAUGCAUUUUAAAUAAAAGCACACAUUCUACUCAUGUAAAAACACGCUGAUUCCCGGACCAUCCGCGGGCUGGAUUGAGAAGGCGAUUGGGCCUUAGUUUGCCCACCCAUUGUUUAAGCAGAAAUCAGCCAUGUAAAUAAAUAAAAUUGUGCCCCAUGGCAUGUGUGUGCUUUCCAGUGGGUCAAAACUCGUCUACUCUUGGCAACAGUGCUGAACUUGAAGGAGCUUGGUUUGCUUCAACAAUAUCAUUCUUAUGCUCUCUCAGUCUUAUAUGGGUAAAUAUCAUUUCUUUCUUAGAAUGUGCUUCUAGGAGGCCCAUAUCCUUAAAGGGAGGGGGUAUAAUGGAUUGCUUUACAUACCUUAGGAUUCUUCAUGCUACGUGACUUACUGCAAGCUAGCAAAACACGUUAUCCUAAUUGUAUAUUUAGUACAAAGUACUUUUCUCUUGCCAAGAAGAAAGUGUGAAUAGCAGAAACACAUUAGUUGCUCAUAAACAAUAAACACUCCUUUUGAUUGAGUGUCAUAAAACCUUCUCUAAGCUCAGGGUCUAAACUGUUACUGAGAAAUGAUGUGGCUGUUACAAAUGGUAUAGUAAUUGGACAUGUGCAAAUGUUUGAAGGCCUGGAAAGGAGAAUUUAGCCUAGGACCCUGGUUUUGUUUUCAUAUCCAGAACUGGAGCCUUGGACUGUGUACUGGAAAUCACUUCCAAUUUUGUUGUUAGCUUAACUGUGAAUGCUGUAUUUUAGACUGAGUAAACAUUUAAUUACUGGACUUGUGUUACACAAGAGAUAAAAUUCCACAAUAUCAAAUGAGCAUAUUAAAAGCACUACAGAAAGCACUGGUUAUAUUUUCAAUGUGCAAGACUGGUCCAUCCAGUGUCAGCCCCACAAUCAGGUAAAGUGAGGUGACCACUCAGGAUGCAGAUGGGUUGUCACUAAUGACUUGCGUACACCUCUCUCCAAACCCACAGUGGGAGUGCUCUGGAUAAGGAGUAAACAAUUGCUUUAGUAUUAAUGUGGAGGCAGAUUUCCAUGUGACCCUGUCAUGUUGUGCUAAUUGAUCACAAGAUUUGGUUCCACUUUGACCUCCACACAUUUAGUAUACAUGGAGAAGCACAUGUCUGGAUCACCCUGUCGUGUUGUGAAAAGUGAGCAGUAGGCUUCUAAGCUUUGGUGUACCUUGUCUGAUCCACAUCCAUAAGUUUAUUGACCCCUAGUGACUGAAUCUCAUUAAUUUAAUUGGAUUGAUGAAUGUAUGAAAUCUGUGGAUAUGUUUACUCACAGCUUGCAGACCAGUAUUUGUGCAUUCAUCAUCUUCACUGGCCCUCAAUGGCCUGAUGACUCUACCCACAAAAGCUCAGCCACAAUAAGCUUCUUACUAGUUUCUCUCAAGUACCUGAACCCAAUUGCAAGUCGUCUUCUUUCAUGCUAAAUAUUCCCAAUUCCUGUAUGUUCCUGUAUGUUGUUACACCCAUCAAAUGAGAGGACAACCUUUUAUCCCAAGACUUUUCUUGUUAAUAGCUGGUGAUGACUCAUUAAUGGUCACUGAAGGAUGGAAUAAAAUUUGCAUAAAUGAGCAUUUAUGGCUCUUACCUUUUUAGGUACCGAACACCCCACCUCCAUGUUUAGGUGGGGCUGGAGAUAAAGAGUUCUUUUUUAGGAAUGUAACCAGUGCAGCAGGCAAAAGUUUGAGUUUUGUAGGUAUCUAGCAAGGAGUCUCAAGGAGCUAUUAGGAAAUUAGGCUAUUUUUGAAAUGAGCACUGUUUUCCUGGUUUUGAAUAUAUCCCUACUCCAUCCCCAUCUCCUGCUCAGCAUAAAGGUAAAGGUAAAGGGACCCCUGACCAUUAGGUCCAGUCGCGGACGACUCUGGGGUUGCGGUACUCAUCUCGCAUUACUGGCUGAGGGAGCCGGCGUACAGCUUCCGGGUCAUGUGGCCAGCAUGACUAAACCGCUUCUGGCGAACCAGAGCAGCGCACGGAAACGCCGUUUAUCUUCCCGCCAAAGCGGUACCUAUUUAUCUACUUGCACUUUGACGUGCUUUCGAGCUGCUAUAGCUGUAAAUAAACAGAUACUACAAAGGCACCAUAAGACUCUAGUAUUCCCACCUUCCAAGGGAAAGUCUCCUCUUAGAUUAAUUUCUUAUCCCUUGGGGAAAUGUAGGGCAUAGUGCAAAAUAGUUCAUUAUAGUUCAUUUCAAACCAUUUACUAUAUCAGUGGGAAAUUUUGAAGCCUUCUCUUUGCUAUUUUACAUUAAAUUAACAUAAACCAGAAACAGCUAAUAGCAUUUGUAUGUUUUAAAAAUUAUUUGCUGAAUCAUGGAUCGUGCCUUAAGCAGGUCAGUAAUGUUGUUCUGCACUCCUAGAAUGAAUCACGAAAUGUAGCAAUGGCCAGCAACUUGGAUGGCCUUACAGAGGGGGAUAGAUCAAUUCAUGGAGGACAAGGCUAUCGGUGGCUAUUAGCCAGGAUGAUUGCGUGAUAUCGCCAGAAUUGGAGGCAGUGUUCCUCUGUAUAUUGGUGGCUGUUUCAGGUCCUAUUUGUGAGUUCCCAACAGACAUCUGGUUGGCCACUGUGAGAACAGGAUGCUAGACUAGAUGGGUCUAUAGUCUGAUCCAACAGAACAUAAGGAUAGUCUUAUGUUCUUAGAGUAUUCUCAGGCUACAAAUACAACCUUUUCAGAAACAAGGGGAAUCCCGCUACUUUACAAUCUGCCGCAACUUUUCAGAGACUUUUUUUUUUAAUCCCUCCCAAGAAUUUGUCCCUGCUGUUUUGAGGACAGAAUGAUAAAUCUAUCAAUUAUCUCAUUAAAAACAAAAUAAUGUUUAAUGCUGACAGAUGUCAGACCUAUGAAUGUGUAAAUAUUAAUAAGCUAGUUGACACAUUCCACAUAAGCAAAGAAGAAUCUGUAUAUUUCAACAUUCCCUUGUGUUUUCUGAACAUAAGGAUGCCAAGUUCCUAAAUUGAUUGAGGUAGAACAACAAAACAAAAUCUUAAAUGAGCUUACUUUUUUUUGUUUUUAAAUACUACAGUAUCAUGAGAACACAGACUUAAUAUCUUAACAAAUCAAGUGUUCAUAUAUGUAAAUGUUGCAAAACUUCAUAUAUAUUUCUUUUGACUUUUUGAAAAACAUUCAAAAUGUGAGCCUUUUCCCUUGAAGAAUUAUUUGUCAUAACAGGUACAACAAAACAUGCAACAAAACGUAAUACCCCCAAGCUAAUAAUUCAUUACUGCUUUCAUUUAACCCCUUGAGUCAGAUGCAUUCUGAUACAAUGGCACUGCGGAAUAAAAUUAUUUAGUUUUGUUUAUGUAUAUAGUUAUCUGCCCAAAAUUUGCUCUGCAUUGCUGGCCUCUGUGACUUCCUGCCCAGCAGACCCUUUUUUGAAUGUGUUCAACAUCCAAACAACACUCCCAAUGACGCCAUUUUCUUCUGUUGGACAGCUUUCAUGUUUAUUAGGGAACUUGCUUCAUAGCUAACCUUUGGGCUAAUGUGCUGCUGUCUGAAGCUAAUGCAUAUGCAGUGAUUAAUAUGACUAUAAUCAUGUAAGGAUGCAUAUGGAACAAAAUAACCAGGCUAAUGAUUGUGGAAGAAUUAAAUUUUCUUGGAUUUCAGUAUUGCUUGGAUUUCUUUGGGUUCAGCCCUUUUCUGAAGGCAAAACAAACCUUGAAAUAAGAUGAAAGUUUCAAUCCUCGUAAUAUUUCAACCCUCGCAGGCAAAACUCCACAUGAAUCACAGUUUAAAACAGAACAGUGCGUAGAGUGCCAAUAUAAACCACAAAAUAUUUGUGGAAAACAAUGCACUUGGGGGAUUAAGACAUUCAUCUGAAAGGGAAACUGCUAAACAAGUGAAAAGUUAUAGAAAUUACAUUAGAAGCACAGCCGUCAGCUAGAAAUAUAAUCUAUAAACAGCCAUAUAGACAGCACGGGGCUGCUUUAAAACUUUGCAAAGGAAGAUGAAAACAAAUAAAAAUGAACUGAGCAAGAUGGAAGGAUCAAGGAGCAGGGGUGGAGUGUGUUUAUGUGUGUAGGGGGGAGGGAAUCAUCCCAGGAGUUUCCCAGAACUGCUAAAAGGGCAAAGCUAAACAUAAUUCGCUUGAAAACAUGAGUUUUGAUAAAGUGUGAUAACCAAGAACUUAAUGAAACAAUAUUGCAACACAUUGUUGUAAGCAACAUCUCCACAAGCAAUUAUUUUUACUUAUGGCUUACAAAAUGUUUGCCAUGAUGAUGAUCAGUGUGUGUACAGAGGGAGGGUCUGCAUUUACGAGGGGCCCUCCAACAGGUCUCCUUUGUUGCCAUUGUCAGGUAUCUUGAGGCUUAGACCAUCAGAUUUAGGGGGCAGACCUUGGAUGACGCUUGGUAGAAAAACUUAAUGGUGCCAGAUAAAGGCAGAAAAUCGCUCUUGGCAUGUCUGAGGAAGAUCCUUGCUGUGUGUGGUGCCUAAGUGUAGCAUCUGAUGGGUGUGCUGGUGGAGCACUUAGCAAAAGUUCUCGAACCAAGCAGAAAAUAUUAUUGUUUGCUCUUCACUUUCACCCUAAGAUUUUACUCCCCCGCCCCGAGACCCUGAGAAGAGGAUUAAACCCUGAAACUUUAGGUCAAACUCUUUGAGGCCCAGCAACCACGGAUGGAGGCCAACCACUUGGCAUCUGGGUCGUGUGGGAGCUCUUCCAGUUCAGUUGUGCUGGUCCCAAGGGUUAACCGUGCAGCGAGGUCUGGGUCCAGUCCGAGGUCGAGGGUGUGGUAUGGAGGCUGUCCAUCAAAGCUGAAGCUGGGUCCAAGGCAGGGAGUCGGGUGAGGUCAGGAACUCUAGCAGAAGAGCAGGACAGGGUGCAGGCAGGAACAGACUACCAACAAUGUUGCUCCCGCAACCUGGGACUGGGGCUGGCUGGCUUUUAUCUGCCCCGAGGCAUAGGGGAGCCCCAGUCCACAGGUGACUCGCCUCUCCUGGCCUGGAGGCGAGCACUCCUCCUGCGGGAACUUAGUUCCCUCCACCUCUCUGCCCUUAGCCUCUGCAGCUCAGGAGAGACUGGAGGGUUGCUGGACCCAGAGGCAAUCUCAGCAUCCCCUGACGGGGCUGAGAGUGGAGCACCUGCAGGCAAUGGGUCCUCCAUCACCUCAGGAGCCAGAGCAGGCUCAGCUGGUGCCUGCACCUGAGGAUCCAGCACAGGUGAGGACCCUUCAGGCUCAAGCCCCAGCCCCGGCUCAGCUGGUUCUGGAGGCGAGGACUCCUGUGCAAGCUGGGAUUCCUCAGGUUCAGCCUCCGAGUCCGAAUCCCAGGCCAUCACAUCAGUAUUGCCCCCAAAUGUUACCCUUCACUUUUUCUGGUAGUAAUGGACAACAGUUCACUUAUAUGGAAGAAAUAAAAAAGCUGCAUUUGGCUAAGACAUUCCUUGGUUACCAGUAUCUAAAGUGGCAAUCCAGUUUUGCUUUCUUUGAGCUGUACCCCCAGAUUGCUGCCCAUGUACUUUGUCCCAUAAAACUCAAAGGGGCCCAUUGGGAACCAGGUCGUGGUCUUUCUGCAUAACCCUGGCCUGUUUCUCAUUCCUUCCUUCCUUGUGGUCUUAGUAUGGGGUGUAAUGUUAAGUAUUCACUUAUUCAUAUUGUACACUAGCAGCCUUAUGGCCAGCUGUGCUUAGAAAUCCUAAGAAACCCAAAACAUCAGGCUGGUUUGUAAUCAGUGGUUAAAAUCAGUGCAGCUUUCACAGGUUCAGUCAACCAUCUUGAUUUAAAAUGGCACCCAGUUGUAUCCAAACAUGGACAAAAGCUCUUUGAUUGCAGGAACAAUCAUGCAAAAAUUGGUUAUGAUAUUUUAGGAGGUGUUCAAAUGUGCAAUGAAAAACCAGCUUUCCAGAAUAGGUAUUAGGUAGACUUAGAUUUCUAAAACACCAAAAAUGACUAGGUGUCAUACAGUGAAGUUAAUAUUUUCCCAUAGCAUAGUGACAUGCUGUUUUACCAGUUUGAGUGCAUGUUUCCUUUGUGCAUUACAAGAAUUUUAUAUGUUCAUAAUGGAUGUUGAGAACAACCUUUGUGUGUUGUUGUGGCCAAGCAUGAACUGUGAAUAGUUUUUGACUCCUCCGAUUUUCCUCCACAAAAAGUAGACAUGUACCCUUAACACUUAGCCCCACUAAUUAAAGUCAUUGUCAUAGAAUAAUAAACAUAUGGCAAUUUGGGUUACAUUUUCAGGAUAAUAGCUGUCAAUGGGAAAAGGUCUGCUAAUAUUACACACAAGGAGUCCAAAACAGCGCUGGAGAAAGUUAUUGCACAUGUAAUAAAUCACUUCCCAAUCAAUGAUUGCACUUUAGUUCCGCCUGUGGAUUGUUGUUGACUACAUAACAUUGCAUAUGGGAACCAUUUUGAUACAUUUUAAAACAUUUAUUUGUCUACUAUGAAACAGAGUGGUCCUAAGGAAAUGCAGAAGCCCUCUAAGAAAGUUUGCUAGACAUAACUAAACCCUUUGUGCGUCCUCAAAAUAACUCCGAUGUUUAGCAUCAGCAGAAAUAAAGUUCUCUCUUAAAUUUCACUACUGUAUUGGUCAAAUUGCGAGGCAAGUUAAAGAAAUGUAGAAUGCCUCCUGAGAAAAGUAUCUAGUUUUAUUACUAUGUGCUUCUCUCAGAAUGUAUUGGAUGUUCCGCACAAUAAGGAAUCUCCAAAUUCACCUGAAAUUUGGCUUCAGCCACGAUUUGAGAGCAGAAAUUGCCCAGCACAGACUUGUAAACAGCUAGUCACCUAGGGUGAGUAAUGGGUUAGCCAGCUGCAGUACCAGCUGCACCAGCUGUUCUAGAACAGAUUACAAUUUGAGCCUAAGUAGCAUCCAUUUGGUUGGCUGAAGGCAAGGGUAAAUUUGUUUUAUGUGCAUUUGGUUCUGCAUACAUUUAAUUAAUGCUAUACUAUCUGUUUGGUGGGGUUAGGGAAGACUAUAUUGUAGCCAUGACAUGAAAUUAAUGAAUUUAUAUUGACUAACCCAUAAAAUGUGUAGGAUUUUUCUAUAAGGAUUAACAUCUUUCUCUUAAUAAGAAAGAAAGAAAGAGAAGCCAGAGCAUGUUCUGACACAUUAACAUUCCCACUAAAUCACAGGACUGUACUGACAGGAUUAAUGAGCUACCAGAUUUGGUCAUUUGUGGAUAUAUAGCCAUUUUGGUUACACCACCAGCAUCAUUGUCACUAGAAGAAGGGUUGAUAAUUUUACAUAGAACGUAUCCAGGACAGCAUUGCAGAUGAAAGUUAUUUCACAUGUAAUAAAUCACUUCCUAAGAAUAGAUUGCACUUUUGUUCUGCUUAUAGAUUGAUGUUGACUUUGUAGCAUAGCGUAUGGUAACCAUUCAAAUACACCAAAUGAACGUUGUGGCCGUGUGUAGCACUUUGAUUUCUUCAACAUUUAAAAACCCUCUCAGACGUGUCUGCUGAUGGAUUACAGUCUUUCAGUAUCCCAUCCAGUGCUUUCAGUUGUGCCUGCUUGAUGGAUGCUCUUUUGCCAUAUGUGAAAGGAGGAAAUCAAUGGGGAAAUGCCUGCUUUGAGCAGGUACAUAUGCAAGGUUUUGAUCCCCUGUAAUGAGAGAUUUCUUAGUUGACCAUCUCCUUUUAUGCAUGCAAAGUGUGAUGGUGGAGUAACAACAAUGACUUUGACCUCUGCAGCCAACUGUCCUGUUGUGUGCCCAGUUUGUUCAUUUAUUUCAAACUUUAUAUACCACUUUCCUGCUGAACAAAGCAACUCACCACAAGUGGAAGUACCAAAAAGUGACCCACUCUCAGUGCUACUAAACACAAUUUAGUUAGCGCUGAUAUAAAUCUCAGUGGGAUGGAUCCAGUCUUUGGUUUCUGUGGAUUGGAAAGCUCCUUCAUCUGUAGAAGGCUUUUAAGCCGAUGGAAAGAUACCACUGGCAGAUAUAGGGAGCAUUAUUUUUUUUGCCAAUUCCACCUCCCCCUGCUGUCCCACACUGUUUUGGAGGCCCUCCAACCCUCCAAAUCAGGGGGAAUCAACAAUGGUUGCCUUUCCCUUGUUGACAGGAGCGUCCUUUGAGUGAAGCACAAGUCUUGCUUCAACUUGGUGUUUCUUUUUUCUUCUGAAUUAUAUAAUUUUAUAUAAACAAAUGGGGGUGCGGGUGGUGCUGUGGGUUAAACCACAGAGCCUAGGACUUGCCGAUCCGAAGGUCGGCGGUUCAAAUCUCCGCAACGGGGUCCCUGCUCCUGCCAACCUAGCAGUUCGAAAGCACGUCAAAGUGCAAGUAGAUAAAUAGGUACUGCUCCGGCGGGAAGGUAAACGGCGUUUCGGUGUGCUGCUCUGGUUCUCCAGAAGCGGCUUUGUCAUGCUGGCCACAUGACCCGGAAGCUGUACGCUGGCUCCCUCGGCCAAUAAAGCGAGAUGAGCGCCGCAACCCCAGAGUCGAUCACAACUGGACCUAAUGGUCAGGGGUCCCUUUACCUUUAUAUAAACAAAAGUGGUUGCCAUAUUUUAAAAGCAUGUUAACAUGCGUUAGGAAGCAGAUUGAGUGCCUUUCUCCACCUCCUCCACGUUGCAGGCAGGAGGACAUUUCACCACCUACAUUUAGAAAAAAACACAACAACAGAAGCUUCCAUUUUGUUUAGAGGAACUUCAGCUAUGUAUCAAGGUGUCUGUCUUUCUGACAUCCAGUUUAUGUAACCUUGAGAUUCCCUUAAUCCAGACUGAACAGUGGAUAAGGAGAGCAAGCAACUACUUCUGGCCUUUUCACACCUCUUAACCUUAGGUUCUGCAAAGCCCAAAGAAACAGGGAACAGUUGCCACUGCCCCAAAUAGGGUUCAUGUUAUGACCUUUUCUUCCAUUCACAUCAGCUGCCAGUGUCAGUGUUCACCUUGCCCUCUCUCUGCCUCAUUCACUUUCUUUAGGGGCUCUGGGGAUUAGUGCAAGCUUUUAUACAGCUGCCAGCAUGGCAUGGAAAAGGAAAGAGUGAAGUGGAAGAAAAAGAUAUUAAAGCAUCUUACUGGGACAUUGGGACCAUCCUUCAUAAUCAGAGCUGUCCUUGAGAAACUACAGCUCUUCCAGCGACCCUUAGAAAGCCAUACUGUGCCACUAAGCGGAAAAACAACAAUUAUCUUCUGAUGGAUGGGCAAGAUUACAGUAUUUCUUAUUUUCACUUUUUAUAGCUUCAAAUAAAAAUUUCCACUUGUUUCUUGUUGACUUGCUGCUCCUGGAGGCGACAUCCACUUCAGCCAGGAACCCUUUUAUGAACAAUCACAGACCUUUUCUUGAAGUUUUGCUGGGAUUGCUAGUUUUGUCCUUUGUCUAAACAGGUGUAGUUGAAUUAAGGCUGCACUGAAUGUUUUCUUUUUUAAUUUUUUUGGACCAGAAAUACAACUUUGAGGUUAUUUGUGAAUGUCCCUUUAGUAGUCAAGUCCUUUCCUUUUGUUUCUUCAUUUCAUCUGUCCUUUUUGCCCUUCACUAUACUUGUUUAUGCUCAGGGUUGCUUUUUCUUUCUUGUACUGGUCCCAGGCAACCAGCGAUCACAUAGUGCUAGGACAUAAUCAUAUUCACUACGUAGCCCGGAAAUAACAUUGGAGAUAGCAUUGAGGACAAAGAAAGCUGACUGAGACUGAAGGCGAUACUCCCUGGAUCAGCACUGCCCACUGAAUGAGCACAAAUUGUCAGCCUCUUUCAUAUAAUCAUAGACUUUUUAAUGAAAGGUGUCCCCUUUUGUCUCAGUCCUACUUGGAACUGGUACAAGGCAUUGUUGAAGCAGGAGAACACACCAGUUUUGCCAUGUGGAUGCCACUCGAAUUGCCCAUGGUGAGUUCUCCAUACACAACCCAAGUAAUGUUUAAGAAAUCGUACCAUGUGAAGCACAGCUAAUGUCAUCAUCUAAUUUUAAAGGCAUAACUUCCCAAAGCAAUGUGCUAACAGUUCUAAACUAACAGGGGUGGGGAAACUGACCCUUCAGGUGUUGUCGGAUUCCAUCUCCCUUCAGCCCCAUCCAACAUGGCCAGUGGUCAGUGAUAGUGGGAGAUGUCGUCUAGCAACACCUGGAGAGGAAUAAACGAAUCAACGUACCAGUGUAAGAGUGAUUUAUCUCUUUGGAUCCUAAAAUACCACUCCUACUCAGAAACUGUUCACAACUUUCUCACGGCAUACUGUGCAAGGUGUUGGAAGAUUCCAAAUGCAGACCUACAGUAUUUGAGAUCUGGAUCUCACAACUUUGGGACUUAAUGGGCAAACUGACAGUCCGUGUCCAAGAUAGUUGAACAGAAAACACAACCACUACUUUUCAAUCAACCUUGCAUAGUUUUAUUACAUAUGCAGAAUCACUAGGACAUAUAACAAAUUGUGAACUGAUACAUUUGUUUAAAAACUGAAAUGGCUUUAAAGUUUAAUUUACUUAAACAGAUGUUUGCUUCUUUUGCUGGGGGUGGGUUGGAUUGUUGAUGUUGACUGCUGCUCUUUGUAUAAAUAAGUGGAAACAAUAAAUUGUUCAGGAGGAAAAAUACGUAUUUCCAGCACAUCUUGCUAUAAUUCCUAUUAUUUUUGUAAAGUUCAGUGAGUGAUUUUAUAUAUGUGUUUGUGUGUGUGUCACUGAGGUAAAACUUUUUUAUAUACUUUUUGAGAAGUAGUGGCCUUUUAACAAUAAAUAUUCACAGGUUGUAAAAGAUAUGACAGUAUUCAAAUCCUGUGUGCAUUAAUAGUUUCUUUUACUUUUUUGACUGAUAUUUUAAUUUAAACAAGAUAAUAUGUACUUUUGAUCACCUGUGUUCGGUAGUACUAGAGAUCAAUUUUUUCAAAAUCCAUUUCUCUCUCCUUUUGCUAUCCAGCUUUACAAACAUGUUCUUUCUUGAAGAUUUUUAAACCAAAGGGGAAUCUCAAAAAUAUUUUAGUUUUAAUCUCCAUAAAAUGAUAGGAUUUAGAAUUUCUGAUGAGAUCUUCAUAUCUUUAUGUUCCGUGUUUUUUCCCAUUUAUCAAAGUUAUCUAGCCUCCUCAUAGAAUUAAAUUCCAUAUUAUCAACUACAGAUGCUGUUGGAGCUUUAGCUGGAAUUGAUAGAUCCCUAUUUGUCCCAUAGUCUAUUUGAAAGAGUAAAAUUAUUUAUUUAUUUCAACUUAAUGAUCCAUUUUCUUUGCCCAAAGGAUAGAGCUUAGAUCAAUAUCUAUAUAUAUUCUUGCUCAAAAGCUUUAUUACCAUCUUUAUGUCUUUGAUUGUAUAAUCAGCUACAGAUAUAUAAUAUACAUUUCUUUCACUUUUCCCCGCAUCUCCUUCAUCGGUGCAUAUAGUUGCCAGUAUGUUUGGGGAGACAUCGGAGCAAAACUUUUCCCCACCCCACCCCAAAAAACCUGCCUAAUUUAUUAUCCUCUUUCUGGCUGCCUGACACCUGCAGGGAGGACCCAAAAGUAAUUGACUUCCGGCACAACCUCCAGAGCCAGUGUGGUGUAGUGGUUAGGAGGGGUAGUCUCGUAAUCUGCUGAACCGGAUUUGCGUCUCCGCUCCUCCACAUGCAGUUGCUGGGUGACCUUGGGCCAGUCACACUUCUUUGAAGUCACUCAGCCCCACUCACCUCACAGAGUGUUUGUUGUGGGGGAGGAGGGGAAAGGAGAAUGUUAGCCACUUUGAGACUCCUUAAGGGGAGUGAAAGGCGGGGUAUCAAGUCCAAACUCCUCCUCCUCUUCUUCUUCCAUGGCGAACUGCCAAUCCCAUGGUAGCGGAUGCCAGCCAUGCAGUUAAUUAAGGAUAAUUUGAGAGUAAUUAUCCUUGCAAGCAUUCGGGGGGUGAGAGCUUUCUCUCGCGGAUCGUCCGAUAACUGCUUCACGCUCCGAUGGAAUGCAGGGGCAGGGACACAGAGGGCAUAGCACUGCACGUAUUGGAAACUCCCCAAUGUGGUUGCCAUGAGCGGAGGUAUCUCUGUUUCUUUUAAGUUUUAUCUGAAUUUGGACUUAAGAAACAGACAUGUUUUGGAAGAAGGAGAAAGAUAACCUUCUAAAUGAAUCAGCCACUGAGUGCCAAGGUUUUGAUCUGGAGAGGACUCUGGUUAUCGUGAUUGGAAUGCUGCGUAAGUGAAGGGGAGCCUUUGUUCUUUUUUUUACAUUAUUUUUGCUGUGCUAUGAAUUGGCAAGCCUUCACUGAAAAAGAAUCUGUUAUUAAUGGAAUGAAAUUACUAAUGGAUUACGACUAUAUAUUGAUUUCAAGAGGGAUUCAACAAGAACUUAGAAUUUUCUUUAUGGAGUGCUUGAAAGAAUAGACUGUGUGAAAUACUGUGAUGAUUUGUAACAUUGCCAACUAAAGAGAGCUCUAGUUCUGAUUUAUUACAGUUUUGGUGAGACGCCUGCUCGUUAGAAGAAGCAAGGAGAUAAACACUGGAAGUUAACCAGAAGUUGCGGCUGGACACUGGAUUGCUUUCGGUUUCAGAGAGGCAAAAUGGAACUGUGACAUACCUACAAAUGAGUUUUCGAAGGAGGGGCAAUGUUGAAGAAAACUGACUGAUUACCACAUGAAGGAAAAGAAGGUAAACAAAUAUUUCACACAGCUACAGAAUAUAAAUUCCCUCUGCAAGUUAAUGGAUUUGGAUUUAUUAAACACAGUAGAAAGUUAUGACAUCAGUAGCUGCUAGAACAAAGGAUUAAGAUCGGAAUUGUGGAACUUGGACUAAUUAAGAGAAUUGGCGCAGGAUCAAGGAAUAACAUCAACUCCUGAUAGCUGGAACAUGGGA